AACAAAAAUGUACGGUGUAUUAUUGGUUCACUCUCAAUAGUAGUAAAUAGGAGUUCAUGUGAACAAUAAAAUUUCAAAUUUGUUUUACUUUUUGUUUAAAAAAUUAUUUUUAAUUUUUUUUUUGAGGUUUCCAAUCAAGGUUUUACUUUGCAAAACUUCAGUUGCUAAACGGCAAAAUUGAAGAUCAAUUAUUUUAGUGGCAAAAUUUUGAGACCAACUAAUUUAAGGGACAAUUCAUGUCAAUUUUUAAAAAAUAUAUGGUUCACUAAACCUACUCAAAUUUGGGUUGAUUAUUGACUCGUUGAUAUAUUAACUCAAUUUACUUCAGCCUAAGCUGAGCCAUUUUUGCUCAUUAAAAAUUGAGUUGAUAUGCAACACAAAUUGACCAAUAAAAGAUAUUGACAAAAUAUUUUCAAAAAUAAUUUAAAAUAUAUAUAUAUAUAUAUAUAUAUAUAGGAAAAGAUUAUAUAAUCUAGUUUAAUUGUCUAACUUCUCACAUUAACAACUUUACCCCAUUGAGAGCUUUCCAUAUUCAUGUUACGCUUUCUUCUUAGUGUUCAACAAGAAAGCUGAAUAAAAUUAAAAUUGGGAAUUAGUUUUCUUGGGAUCAUAAUUUAAAUUGAUUAAGAUAAUGAAGGCAUGUCUAUUUUUGAUUAUUAAAAUCAACCAAUUUAACUAUUAGCGAGAAGUAGCAUAAAUAUUCAUAUUUUUUCUAACGGGGCAUUAAUAAGCUCACUUACUUAAUUAUGAUAGUUAAAUGAAAUAUUUGAGAUAUUCACCAUAAAUAAAAUCAAUUAACUUAUAAAAAAAAUUUGCGACAUCGUUUUAACGCUGAGCUUGAUCAAGUUUACACUUUUUCAAUUUUGACGUUAAAAAAAAAGGAUCAUUCUUGAUUUAUAUUAUUAAAAAACAUUUUAAAAUAUAGAAAAAAAUUGAUAACGUUGGGUGAUAUUCGACAAUCAACUUUUUACCCAUUUUUAAGUAGUGAUAUAUAAAAGUGAUAUUUUUUAAUUUUAUAUCUAGCUAAUUUUUGUGUGUUUUUUUUUUUGUGAUGGAGGAGGACUAAGGAAAAGAGUCCACUCAUCAACACGUGUUAAUAUCUAACAAGAGUCAAUAAUUAAGAUUCCAGGACGUACAAAUGACCAAAACAUAUGGGCGAGUAUAUUAAUUUUUUGUCUCUUGUUUGAUACUGAUAUAUUAAAAUAUAUUUCCUUUUUACUUGUUGUGAGUGCCCACUGAAAUAUAUCAAAUAUUUUUUCAUUUGAUAAUAUGUCACGACCUGAAUUCGAGACCGUAAUGGCACCCAUACAACCUUCCAUGAUAGAUAAGUCAAGAACUAAAUGUCAAAUACAACAUACCAAAUGUAUAAAAACAGAAGUAGAUUAAUAGACCAGUAUAGUCAAAACAUAGAUAAUCUCAGGACAGGUAGUUACUAAUAUAAGCCACUAAAUACAGAAAUCAAAGAAAAAAAUUGUGUAUCUCAACAUGAGAAAAAUGCAUAAAGAUAAGGUUAGAGAAAAUUUCAGUAGUCUCUAAAAUCAAUAACAGCUACCUCGAAUCUCUAAAGUACUAACAAAGAAGGAACCACAGGAAUCAAUGUCCAGAGAUUGUCUAAUCGAUAUCUGCAUGUAAAGGUACAGAAAAAACAAGGCUGAGUAUGGAGCCAUAUGUACUCAGCAAGCAUCGUUGAUCGAUCUUAAUUCGAUGCAAUGAUGAGUAACACUGCGCAACCAUCUAAAAUAAUAAUACAACCUGCACUCAUGUAAGCAACCCUGUUCUAACUAAAUAAUCAAUUCUGGUAGUCAUAAAGAUAUCAUAACACAGUCCAAGAAAUCCUCAAUACCAUGAAAUCAAGUAACAAUGGUCAAGUACUUAAUGAAUAAUAAAAAGUCAACAAUUACGCCUUACUUAAUAUGAACUAGGAAUGAAUGCAAUGCAAUGCAUGUGUGUGUACACACAUACCGAGCAAUGACUUCAAGUUCAAGACCCAUGGUGGACUCACAAGGUCCAUGUAUUGUGCAGGCGUUCACUUCGAUCCCAAUAAAUACAUUGUGCAGGCAUGCAUUUCAAUCCCAAUAAUAGAUAAUAAUGUCCAAACGUGUACUUCGACCCCAUAUGAAAUGCAAUGCAUAACGUGCAGAUGUAACUCUGAUGCCAAACAAUACAAUUAAGCAAAAUAUUUCAUGUCUUAUACAAAAUGAACAUCAGUUUCAAAAUCAACUCAACUUAUCAAGUGGGAGUAUGCUCAUUAGCUAGAAUUUUCAACAAUUCAUUUACUACAGCAAAUCAGCUCAUCGUACUAGCAAGUAGGAAAAACAGUUCAAAAUAUACAAUUGACUUAUUUUAACCCCUCAAAUAACACUGAUACCUGCAUAGAUGCUUGUCACUUCACCUAUACGAUAUCCUCAUUCUUCAUUACUCCCAUUACACAUAACUAAUACAUAAGCACUUUGAAAAAGAAGAAGAAGAACAACAACAAACAAACCCAGUGUAUUCCCACAAAGUGAGGUUUGGGAAGGGUAAAAUGUACGCGGUCCAUACCGCUACCUAUGAAAAAGUAGAGAGGUUGUUUCUGAUAGAAUCCCGGCUCAAAAUACAGAAUAGUAGACAAGGGGAUUUGGGGGGAGGGGGAAUAGAUAACAUAACAAAAAUCCAGCGUAAGGAAUAAUAACAUAUACAUUAGGGAAAUACGAAAUACGGAGAUAAGGCAACACAAAAGAAAAAAUAGGAAUUGAGAAAAUUUGAGUGGGGUGCCCACGUAGAAAAAAAAUACUUACACAUCAUAGAAACCUAUGUACACAGUCCCAAUACUACUAACCCAGCUACACAAGGUCCUUCCUGAUGUCUUGCUACAACCCGCACCCUUUUGCUAGGCUUCUACCCUAAUCCACGACCUCCACACCUUUCUAUCUAGGGUUAUGUCCUCUGUAAGCUGCAAUUGUUCUAUGUCCUGUCUGAUCACCUCCCUCUAGUAUUUCUUCUGCCUACCUCUACUCCUCUUGAAGCCAGCCAGUGUUAGCCUCUCACACCUGCGAACUGGGGCAUCCACGUUCCUCCUCAAAACAUGCCCAAACCAUCUCAGCCUUUCUUCCCGUAUCUUGUCCUCAACCAAGCCACUCCCAUCUUUUCCCGAAUAGUCUCAUUCCUAACCCCGUCCCUUCUAGUAAGCGCACACAUCAGAUGCAACAUCCUCAUUUCUGCCACCCUCAAUUUUUUAAUGUGGGAGUGUUUGACUGGCCAACAUUCUGUUCCAUACAACAUGGCCAGACGAACUGCCACUCUAUAGAAUUUACCUUUAAGCUUAAGAGGCACCUUCCUAUCACACAACACUCCCGAGGCGAGCCUCCACUCCAUCCAACCUGCUCUAAUACAUUUAGUGACAUCUUCAUCAAUUUCACCAUUCCCCUGGAUCAUAGAUCUAAGAUACUUAAAACUAUCCCUCUUACAGACAUCCUGGGAGUCCUACCUCACUACCACAUCAUCCUCCUUCCUCAAGUCACUGAACUUGCUUUCCAAAUACUCCUUUUUGACCUACUCAACCUGAACCCCUUAGACUCUAGGGUUUGCCUCCAAUCCUCCAAUCUGUCAUUGAUGCUCCUUCGCAUCUCAUCAAUCAGCACUACAUCAUCCGCAAAUAACAUACACCAAGGCACCUCGCCUUGAAUACUCUGUAUCAACACAUCCAUCACCAACGCAAAAAGGAACAAACUAAGAGUCGAUCCCUGAUGCAACCCUGUCUCGACCGAAAAAUUCUCUGAGUCUCCUUCCUUCGUUCUCACCCUAGUCUUCUCUCCAUCGUAUAUGUCCUUAAUAACUCUGAUGUACGCCAUCGGGACACCUCUCACCUCCAAGCACCUCCAAAGAACCUUUCUUGGUACUUUAUUAUACAUUUUUUCCAGGUCGAUGAACACCAAGUGUAAGUCCCUCUUUCUUUCGCUAUACUGCUUCACCAAUCUCUUCACCAAGUGGAUUGCUUCUGUCAUCGAGCGACUAGGCAUAAAUCAAAACUAAUUCUCCAAAAUGAAAAUGACCCUCCUCAAUCUCAAUUCAACUACUCUCUCCCAAAUCUUCAUAGUGUAACUCAAUAGCUUAAUAAUUCUAUAGUUAUUGCAACUCAGAAUGUCACCCUUUUUUUUAUAUAGCGAAUCAUCAUACUCCAUAUCUAACUCUCAGGAAUUCUCGUUGUCUUGAAAAUACAGUUAAACAAAUCCGUCAACCACCUUAGACCUGCCCCACCAGUAAACUUCCAAAAAUCCAUCGGAAUCUCCUCCGGCCCCAUCGCCCUACCCCUACGCAUCCUAUGAAUAGCCUCUUUGACCUCCUCAACCUUAAAACACCUACAAUAGCUGAAAUCACGACUCUCCCCCAAGUGCUCCAGCUCCCCUAACUCAAUACCUCUGCCCCCCUCCUCGUUCAAAAGUCUAUGAAAGUACUCCUGUCAUUUCUUCUUAAUGUGAACAUCCUCCACCAGAACACUACCAUCCUCCCCUUUAAUACACUUCACUUGAUCAAGGUUAAGACCCAUCCGCUUCCUAGCCUUUGCAAGCCUAUACAACCUAUUUUCUUCUCCUUUCUCCUCUAACACCCUAUCCCCUUUUCUAAGUAGCAAAAAGUCAAUUUGAGUCUUAGCUAUCGUGCUUUGAAAGGUAAUUAGGUGAUCUUUCUUCUUCGGCAAGCUUGAAUUCACUAGCACCAGUCCAAAGGUCCUCGCAAAGUCCAACACGGCAGCUCCCUUAUUAUUUCUAACACCAAAUCCAAAACCACCAUGUACGUCGUCAUAGCCUCCCGGUAAGACCCCAAUGUGCCCAUUAAAGUCCCCUAUGAUAACGAUCUUCUCUGAGCUAGGCACGCUUCUCACCAUCUUAUCUGAAACCUCCCAAAAUAUCGCCUUCACCUACUCUUCCAAGCCCACCUGCUGCGUAUAAACACUACGCACAUGCAACGCAAAACGCCCAAUGACCAACUUGAUCUUCAUCAGCCUAUCAUUGACCCUCUUAACCUCAACCACCUGUCCCCUAAGCUCCUCGUUCACUAAGAUGCCAACUCCAUUCCGACUCCUCUCACUCUCUGAGUACCAAAGCUUGUUCCCAUCAACAUCCCUAGCCUUAGAUCCUAUCCACCUAGUUUCUUGAACACACGUAAUAUUAAUCCUCCUCUAUUUAAGAAUCUUCACCAACUUCACGUACUUACCCUGAAGGGUCCAAAUGUUCCAAGACCCUACCCUCAACCUAUACUCUCUCAUCUCUCGUCUCCCUCUAACCCUCUUCCCCAACCCAACCCUAGCCCCCAAGUUAUACCCCCUACCUACCCCGCCCUCCCCUCCUUACCCUUACCCAAAAAAGCCUGUACUCCCACCCCUCUCAGACAUGACCCUAUUACACCAUCGACCCCUCCAGCCAUUACUCAAACACCAAAAUAAAGCCCCAAUUCGACAACCCAAUAGACAAAUCAACUUAACAAAAAUAGUAAGGAAGACACGCCCAAAGUACACUAACCGACCUAGAAGCUAGAACCAACACAACAAAAUACACCAAUUAGCAAAGUAGCUAGUCACUGAUAUACCCACAAGAGACAGGAAAUAAGAACGGAAAUAAACAAGGACAGGAAACAGUAAAUAAAUAAGGGGAAGACAAGAAUCAAGAAACAAAACAAACAAGAAGUAAACAAAACCCAGUAGAUCAAAGACACCAAACUAUAGGAGUGCCUAAAUAAUAAAUUAUAGAAGUCACCGGUUAUUUAGAUGUCGAAAAUUGAUUGCCGGAACAAAAGUCACCAAAAAAAUAUUUGCUGGUGCUUCACCGAAGUAUCGUCGACGCUUCGCUAGGAUCUGGGUGCCUGCUGGCGUCGUUCGACCAGUUUGACGGACAACCCAUGAAUAGAUUACUCAAAAGAAGGGGGGAAAGGCAAACGAUUGAGAGGGCUGAGGGGGGGAAGAAACUCGUGGGAGAGGUUCACCUUACCUGUUGCUGUCGUCAGCGUUGCAAUCUGUAGGUCCGACGAGGUUUUUGGGUGAAAAUAAAUUAUAAUUACACUCCAAAAUAAAAACUUAUCCAACGCUUAAGAAGAGUCUAAGAAUAUCUUAACUUGCCUUAAAACAAGAUCAAUUAAGUUAACCCGAAGUCGAAAGAAUCAGAUGAAUGUUUUAUCCGUUUUAUCCGUAAUGAUUAAUAUCCAUUUCAAUUUUGACAAAGAGAUUCAAGAAUGAAUAUACAAUUAGAACAAAUAAAGGAUAUACGGUAAUACCACAAUAACACCCACACACCCACACAUACACCCCCCGGCACAGACACACAUACGCACACACAUAUAUAUAUAAAGUCAUCUCAAAGUAUAGCCUAGAUCAUCAUAUCUUCAUUUUAAGGCCUCAUUAAAAUCCGAUCAGUAUUUAAUACUAUCAUACUCAGGGUUUCUAAUCCACAUAUGUCAUCAUGAAUAAUAAUGAAAUCGUAAGAUAGAAGAGGCCGAAAAUAGACCUCAAAUCUAGAUACCGAAUCAAUUACCAAUCUGUCAUAAACUAGCCAUAAUAAUGAUCAUAACAAUGAUAAUAAUGAAAUCAAUAACAACAUGAGUAACCAGCUAUUUUGAAAAAUCAAAUACCUAAUCGAGCCUAUGUGUUUCCCCCAUCGCCCCAGGCUCAGAAGGCUCAAUCAGUAUACAACACCACAAGGCAUAGUCAUCAUCCACAACUAUGCAACCGUCCUAUACCAGCUGAUAGACAUAAACAUAUACUAGUAAUAGGCGAUGCACAUGCAAAAAUGAAAGCAAGGUACACAAUCAAUAUCAUAAUCAUCCUUUGAACUCGAACUUCAUAUAUAUAUAUAUAUAUAUAUCAUCACAACAUCCUACGGUCUUGUCGAACAUCAAUAUCAUCAUCUCAGUAUCCUUCGUCCUUGUUGAGUAUCAAUAUCAUCAUAAUAGUAUCAUCCGGCCUUGCUGGCUAUCAAUAUCAUCGUAACAACAUCCUCCGGCCUUGCCGGGUAUCAAUAUCAUCAUAAUCAUCAAUACAUACAUAUAGUUAUAUAUAAUAGGUGCACAAACUCAAGCCAUGUCUAAAAGAGUAUAAAUUUAUAAGUCUGUUGCUCGAAAUGAUCUUCGAAACUAAAUCAUUGUAAAAAUAUACAAAGGGUCGGAUAUCUCACGAUCGGAGCAAAUAAUAGUGUCAAGUCAUGAAUCGAAAUCUAUCUCGAUUAAAUCUUUAAACAAUAUUUUAACCUUUUUUUAUACUUAUAAAUAUUUCAUUUGGUAGGCAAUUAUUAUAGUAAAGAAAUCCAUUGUUACGGUGAAAAGUGGAUUUUAACCCUUAUUUAGGAACAACAGUGUUAAGGUCGCAUUUUAGCUAAGAUCACAUCAAUAUCAAUAUAAUAAUCAUGAAUGUAACGAAUCUGUGUAUGCCAUCACUAAUAUUCAGUAAAUGAAAUCAUAAGCAACACAAACAUAUAUGUAUCCAUAUUCUACAACCGUAUCCUUUACAAGGAUAAAUACUUCUCGGAUAUUCAACCAAUAUCAUAACACGACCCUUGAUCCAAUGAUGUGUUUGGAAUAAUCACAACAUUAUACUCAUAGCUUUAGGCCCAAUAAUAAAAGACAAGCACCACAAGGGCUAAAGUAAAGUGUGAGCUCCACGAGGGCCAGCAUACCUUCAUAACCCAUUAGUCGUCGUCAAGGACAAUUUAUCUAUAAAUAUAUGAAUGAAUAUAACAUAAAUAUUAAAAUGCAUUAUCGGAUUCAACAUGCUUAGUUGCAUAGCUUCUCAUGUAGUCAAUAAAUAUGCCUUCUAGAGCCCUUAGUAUCAUGACUCACAAUAUUAGCAACAAGAGGACUUUCUAGACUAACCACCAAUUUGGUUACUAGGAAAAAUAUAAUAAUAAUAAUAUCAUAGUUCAAAGAUCGAAAUAGUAGUCUACUCAAUUUAAAUGAUAACAUAGUCAUGGAUUCAAUUAAUAACAUAAUCCAUAGCUACACAUAAAAUUAACGAUAAUGUAGUCAACAACAAUAUGCGUCAUCUCAAAUACUAUCACCAUAACUCAUUUACCACAGUUAGCGAAUAUGCUCUGAAGACUAUUCUCUAAGUGUUUAAAAAUGUCUAAGGUCUUCGAUGGAACUACAUAAAUCCAAGCGUAAGGUGGGUGAAGAUCCCACUUCUAAUCCUCAAUUUUCAUAACUAGACAAACUAUGCCCCAAACUAGGCUAAGAUAUCUAGUUCAACCUCUAGAUGUCAAGUAAUCCUAAACUUCGCCUAGAACAUAGGUUUUUAAGCAAACACUACCCAAAUUAUGGUUUCAAGAUCACUAAAAUAGCCCAACUACGAUUAAACAUACUAACCAUGAUUCCAACACAUAAAUCACAUCCCAAACCUAGAAUACUAUAAUAUCCAUGCUACAAACUAGCUUAACCUUAAAAAAAGAUAAUAGGGUUCUAAAAGGGUCAUAAACAUUCCACCUUAUGGGUCUAAAACCAUAAUCUAAUUCUCCAAACAUUGAUAUUAAAUACUAAAUUAUUUUAUUCAUAAUCAAGCCUAACAUUCAUAUUCACAUGCCAUACAUAACACACAUUAUCUUCGAAGAAAAGUAGGUAUAAACAUACCUUAAAUCCGAAUUGUAAAACCUUAAAUCAUUUACCACAUGAUCGUCUUCACUUCACAGUCCCCAAAACACCAUCAUGCUAUCAAAAACAUAAUCCACUCAUUAAUACGAGUCUAACGAUACCUAUAUUGCACUAUUGUGCUUCAGGUCCAAAAAUGACACCAAAAAUCCCAAGUGGAUCCCACUUACAAAAAAUGCAUUUCUUAGGCCAACCCAACACUCACACAUCAUAGAGGAAUCAUAAACCUCAAGAAAUGAGUGUAAACAAAUCUAAUUUUGGGAUAAAAUCAAUUCCUAAGUGAAUUUGAGUUAUUGGGUCAAAAACUAAGAAAUUCAUCAAUAAAGUGAUGAAAUCUUAUCUUAAUUUGGAUGAUAAUCAGGAUAAUAGAUAAUAAUCAAGCUCCGAAGGUACAGAGAGUAGGUAGCCACCGACUCGAUUUUCUCCUAGUUCAUUUAGGUUUUGUUUUUAGGUUUUCUCAUGUACUUUAAAUACCCCUUAUGUACUUUUUGGUAGGAAUUAUGCACUUUUGACACUCAGAAACAUAUUUUGAUUUCAAGAUCCAUCUUUUGUUUUGGGAUUCUCUUGUAUUGACUUUGAUUCAUUAUUCAGUUACAGUUGUGGGGUUUUAUUCUUCUUAUAAUUGUGAUUUCAUCUAUGCUUUCUAUUAUGAAUGUUAUUGAUUUCUUCACAAUCAUGAGCGCCUAAAACCCAUAGCUAGGGUUGUAUUUAUAUAUCAAUAAUGUAUCUCAGAACUCAAAAUAAUGUAAAAAGUAUAUAGAAUGCAUAAACUGAUAAAAAAAAUCAAAGAAGUAUUUAUAGAUGCCAAAUAAAACCUAUCCUAAAUAUUGUAGCAAAUUUGGGUUGGCAUCAACUCACAAUUCAUGGGUAAAGAUCAAACGUAGAUUCCAUAGAUGAAAGCAUAAUAUUGAACUUACAAAGAAUAAGAUGAAAACCCUAAAAUCUCAAUUCAGUUAUAAACCCUAUAAACUAUGAACAAUAAUUCUAAGAUCAAUUAUGUAUAUCAGAACUCAAAAUAACGUAAAAAGUAUAUAGAAUGCAUAAACUGAUAAUGAAAAAUCCAAGAAGUAUAUAUAGAUACCAAAUAACACAUAUCCUAAAUUGUGUAGCAAAUUUGGGUAGACAUCAACUCAUAAUUCAUGGGUUUAAGUAGUAGGUACAGCCCAUGAAUUGUUCCUUCAAGUCAUGGAAAUUAGAGCCUAUUUCAACCUUUCAAAAUCUCAAUUCAUGUCUGUAACCCACGAGUAGUGGGUUAUACCUAUGAAUUGCAGGUAGCCUCAUAGGGAUCAAAUUCAGUAUACAUCUUUAGAACUCAACUUACUAAUGCUACCUAUUUAGGGUUUUAGACUCUCAAAGAUGACUGGAAAGUUCAAAAUUUGAGACCUUGGGGUCUAUUAAUAGAACCCCCCCUCCCCGUCGAAGAGAUGUGGUAUGUCCCCUGAUAAUAAAAAACUUAUGUUUGACCCUUGAAACUCAUUCAGAACCCAAAUAACAUGAUCCAAUAGUGAAAUUUGAGUGUAAACCAUAUUUUAAAUUCGUUGGAAUCAUCAAAACUUUAAUCCAAGAUCGUCUUGGCAAAAAGUGGGGCCCAUACCUAUAGUUUUUUUUCAUAAAAUCCGCACAAUAAUCCAAAAUAAGUUUGGGAGCCUUGGUACCUGAACCAAAGGCCCCCUAGACUAUAAUCAACAUUUUGGAUAUGAUAGAGAAGUUGAAUUUUCCAUCUGAGGUUGUUUUCACCAAUUAUGGGCCCCACACCCUUAUUCCCAUUUUUUCACUUUCGAUCAAUAGGUCGAAAUGAGCUCGGGUGCUUUGAGACCCGAACCAAAGGUAUAUCUAGCCUAAAAUCAAUAUUUUGAAUUUGCUGGCACAGUCAAAAUUUGUAUUCAAGAUUAUUUCACUGAAGUUUUUUCCCGGUGGUCAUUUGAAACCAACAAAGACUUCGAAAUAAGAAACUGGUUCUAAAAACCAAAUGAACUGCCCGAUAAUCAAACCUCCGAUCCCACCAAGUCAUAAAUGACUUUUGGUAGCUAUGGAGAAUCCCUAACAAUAAAGAUAAGCGAAAAUAUAAAAAAUGACCGAAAGAGUUAUUUCAAUAUCCACUACUAAAAGAAUUUUCAUCUCCGAAAGUUAAUGGAUAAAAAGAAUCUCAAAAGCCUAAAAAUAUGAGGUACUGGGCCUGCAUACACCAAGGAGGACUGUCUAUAUAACCUCAAUAAAGAGAAGAUACUUCUAAGGAAUUUUGCCAAAGGUAUCCCCCUUUUAACUAGAACUUACACUUCACUUCCAAAUAGUCAAAACUUAACUUCAACCACUAACUGACCUCCAACUUAACUAAACAGGAUGAUUAACAUAAAAUAAACCACAACAUGCUAAUACCAUCUUGAUACAAAUGGGGACAUUCAUUGUCUUUUCUCUCUUCUCUUUAUUUUAAUUUAUUUUCUUGAGUCAGUUAUCCAAAUAAAAAACCAUUGUCAUUUUUCUCUUGUCUUUGAGUCAAGUCCAUGUCAAAACAAGUGAGAAAAGAUUUCAAAGCUGGCUACGACCUUCUUCAAUUGGAUAAAACAAGAUAAAAAGACAACACAUAAAAGAGACUUGAUUGUGAGUCGAAUUAAGGCACGCAAAAAGUUUUUUCAACGAAAAAGUCUCAGAACUCUUGGAAAUACCAAGGUUCAAAGGGUUUAUCUGAGGAGUAUGGCAAAGCGGAGAUACUAUGUUUUAUUUUAGCAUCACUUUUAAUGAUCUAAGUUUGGUCCAAUGGUGCAGUAAGACAGUGAUAUGCCAUUAGGUGAAAUCAAAAUUAAUAGGACAAGUGCAAGAGAAAUCACCUCAAAAGCCAAAGUCGUACGACAACCACCCUGUUUUAAACUCACAAGUUUUCUUUGUCUGAAACAGGAAAAAUUGCUACCUUCAAAUCAAAUGCUUCAAAGCUCAAAUAUCCAGAGAUGUGAUUCCUCGUUUUUGCAAAUGCAAGAGCAAUAUUGUUGCACAGGUUUGGAAAUUAAAACCAUGGAAAAACUUAUAAUUCAAUAUUUCAUGGAGACACACUUCCUUGUUUGGUUAAUUCAAGAGGCAUUUGUAAGGAGAUGAACUUCCUUGUUUGGGUCAUUCAAGCGGUAUUUGUAAAAAGAUUCACUUCCUUAUUUGGUAAUUCAAACGGAAUUUGUAAGGAGGAUCAUUUCCUUGUCUGGAUAACUUAAGCGGCAUUUGUGAGUAGACGCAUUUUCUUGUCUGGGUAAUUCAAGUGACAUUUAUAAGGAGAUGCACUUCCUUGUUUGGGUAAUUUAAACAGCAUUUGUAAGGAAAUGUACCUCCUUGUUUGGGUAAUUCAAGCGGUAUUUGUAAGGAGAUACACUUUCUUAUUUGGGUAAUUCAAGUGACAUUAGUAAGGAGACAUACUUCUUUGUUUGGUAAUUCAAGCGAUAUUUAUAAGGAGACACGCUUUCUUGUUUGGGUAAUUCAAGCGAUAUUUGUAAGGAGACGCACUUCAUUGUUCGGGUAAUUCAAGCAGCAUUUGUAAGGAGACACACCUCUUUGUUCAGGUAAUUCAAGCGAUAUUUGAAAGGAGAUGCACCUCCUUAUUUGGGUAAUUCAAUCGGCAUUGGUAAGGAAACGCACUUUCUUGUUUUGGUAAUUCAAGCAACAUUAGUAAGGAGACACACUUCCUUGAUUGGUUAAUUCAAAUUUUACUUGUUAGGUAAUGCACUUCCUAACUUAAGUCUUGAUUUCUAGAAGAUUUACAUCGUGGUUGAGUCAGUCCCUUUGAUUCCUAGAAGUUGUACUUCCUAUUUGAGUCAGUAUCCUUGAUAUCUAGAAGAUGUACUUUCUAGUCGAGUCAGUCCCCUUGAUUCCGAAAAGAUAUACUUUCUGGUCGAGUCAGUCCCCUUGAUUCCUAGAAGAUGUACUUUCUGGUGGAGUCAUCCCCCUUGAUUCCUAGAAGAUGUACUCCCAGGUCAAGUUAUUCCCCUUGAUAAUGUACUUUCUAGUCGAGUCAUUCCCUUUGACUUCUAGAAAAUGAACUUUCUAGUCUAGUCAUUGCAUUUAACCCUUAGGAGAUUCACUUCCUUGUCAGUUUUUAUUUCUCCAGUGGCACACUUGCUAACUUGAACCUUUAACUCUAGAAGAAGCACUUUCUAGUCGGAAUUCCUCACUUUAAUUCUUAGGAGACGCACUUUAUAGUCUUGGUCAUUUAAUUUUACUCUCAAGAGAUGCAUUUCUUGGUUAGAGACUUGAUUCAUCAUUGCAACAUACAAGUAAUUAUGAUUGGAUUUAACAUUCACAAAAGUCAUCUGAUGAUAAACUCGGGCAACAAAUCUAAUUCUUGUUGUUUGAAACUUUACUUUUUUGGAAAAUGGAAUCUCUCUUUAUAAUAAUCUUUGUUUGGAAUAAUUAUCUUUCUAGUUUUGAUGUAAUUUCAGAAGCCCCCUUGAAGAACGGUGCGAAUAAAUGGAAAACCAAGCAACAAGGGGAACAAGUUGAAAGUCAAGCAACAAAUUGAAGAAGUUGAAAGUCAAACAAUAAGGUGAAAAAGUUGAAAAACAAGAAACAAGGUGAAGAAAUUGAUAGGCAAGAAACAACGUGAAGAAAUUGAAAAUCAACAGAUUGAAAAAUAGAAAGUAAGGAGCCCGCCUGGAGAACAGGGUAAAGAAAUUGAAAGUCAACAGAAUGAUAGAUAGCAAGUUAGGAGCCCGCCUAGAGAACAAGGUGAAGAAAUUGAAAGUCAACAAAUUAAAAAAUAACAAGUUAGGAGCCCGUCCGGAGAACAAGGUGAAGAAGUUGAAAGACAAGCAACAAGUUGAAGAAAUUGCAAGUCAAGAGUCCACCUAGAGAACAGGGUGAUGAAAUUGUAAGUCAGGAGCCCGCCUGGAGAACAAGGUGAUGAAACUCAAGUCAAGAGUCUAGAGAAGAUACAUAGAUAGGAUUUUGUAAUUUUAGUUAUCUUUUUAACUUGUAAUUUUAAUUUUUGAUGUAAUAACAGAGUCGCAGACCAAAACUUCAACAGUGCCUCACUCGACUCUCCAACUCGGUAUAGUCCCUCUCCUUCCAACCCUUUGAGCCACCUAUGACUUGAUUCCCUCAUAACUAGGGUAGGUAGAAUAUCCUAAGUCAAGACCUGGUUUCCCUUCUUCCUUCUAUUUCUUUCCUUGAAUAAUGAUUGGGUCAAAAUUCUGUCUCGUUGUCUACUUUUCUGUAUGAAAACACUUUGUGUUUAUAUUCAAAGAAGGGGCAUGAUGUAGACAUGCACUUUUUCCCUUCCAAAAUUCAAUUUUAUUCAUUCUUUGUUACCUCACCAUAUCACGUACCUCACGCUUCUAAUAUUCCCCCUACAAUAAUCUAGAUAACAAACUCCUAAUGAAAUAUAACAACUUAUCCUAACCACCUCACACCCCUUACCCCAUAACCACCCUACCCCACUAGAAUAGACCUAAAAAAACACACCAUCAACAACAUAUAUAUACACAAAUAGAGAAAAUAGAGGAAGGGGGAGCCUUAUAGUGAACAAAAACUUCCAUUCAUUUUCCUCUUUGAGAACAUCACACACACUACACACAAACCUUUAUCUUUUUCAUAAAUUAACAAGAACACGCACAUACACCUCACAAUACACUCUCCUCCAUCUCCAUUUCUUCUACACAAUUUUGUACGCAUAUAUACGAUACACAUAGCAUACACACAAAAUCACACACGCAAUAGAAAAUACGAUACACACAUAUUACACAAAGAGAGCUCACAGAUAAUUGAUUUUCUUCAUUCACAUACAAAAAUGGAAGACAUACACAGAAACUGAAAAGAAAAGAAAAAAGGAGAAGGGUUCGUCGAGGGAGUGAAUCGAGAGAGAGACAGUUGGAAUUGAGAGAAUUGGAAAAUAAACAAAGAGAGAUCGAGGAGGUUGAACGGAAGAAGGGGAAUCCGAUGGAUUUUGGGGUUUUUCAGUUGUUUCUCACCAAAAAGUCAUCACCAUCACCGGAAUCUAAACUAUUUUUCUCCAUUCUUCCUUUUUUCUGGGCUCACUGGAGCUUCGUUGAAGGCAUGAUGACUUGUACCAAUGACUUUCUAGCCUUUGUCAUGGAAACUCAUACACCAUUUGACGCAAAUAGUACAGUGAGCAUAAUUGCAACAUUGGUUUCUUAGUUCAUAGUCGAUUUUGAAUUUUAAGAGGUUUUGAUUUGAUUGCUAUUUUUGGUUUGCUCGGCUUUGGGAUCGAUUAAGUUGGUCGUUUGCGUUGGUUUGUUGGUUGAGGUUCAAAUCAAGGUAUCUCAGAUGCGGUUAUAUCUAUGAUAUAUCGAAAUAAAAAAUUGAAGUCCAAUUCUACUCCUUCACUCUUUUUAUUUCAUUGUUUACUAUAUUUGGUAUGUUUAAUUGAUUUUUGAUUCAUUAUUAAUUCUGUUGAUUAUGUAUGACGUGAUAAAACAAUAUAUAAUUCAAGAUUUGAAAUUGAUAAUUUGAAUAUAAAAUUGGGGGUGGGAAUUAAAAAUUGAUAAGAUGAAUAUUGAUUAUUUUUUUUAUUAAUGGACAUUGGUAUAAUCGAUAGUAUCGUUGUUUUAGAUCGUUGAAUGGGUAGGCAAAAUACUAAGUUUAGGUAGGCAAUUGAAGAAAUGGACGGUUAUGGUAUGAUUGAAUUUUGUGCUUGAGAUUGUUUCAUUUUAUCGGAUUUCAUCAAAUGUAUUCAUUCGUCGGGGAAUGCUCCGAGGUCACCUUGUACAUAUUCACCGGGGAAUGCCCCGAUGUCAACUUGUACAUAUUCACCUGGAAAUUCCCCAAAGUAUCUUGUAUCUGGUGGACAUUCGUGAUGAAGGCCCGAGGUAUCGGGUAAAGCACAGUUUAGGAUUAGUUUAGGAUUUACAUUUUCGUAUUUUUCUAUUUUGGGACUUUAUAAUUUGGACUGGAUAUUAUUUUGGUUUCGAAUUUUAUUUGAUUUGUUUGGUAGCUUGGCUUAUGUGUUUUAUGUGAUUUAUGCAUUCUAUAGUAUCGUACUAGCUGAUAUACUCCAUGAAGAGACCGUGGUCGAACCAUGGUACCGAGGGGUGCCUAACACCUUCCCCUCGGUCAACAAAAUUCCUUAGCCGGAAUCUCUAUUUAUGGAUCAUCUUUAAAAGGUCAAAACCGUUUAAAAAAAUAUAUCCAAAGGUGACUUGGUACACCUGAUUUAUGCCAAGUGGAGACUCUGAGUUAAUUGUAAAAUGAAUCCUUUUUUAAACAACUUUACUUUUUGUCACUUAAUAAUAAAAACUCUUUCAAACUUAAAAUCUAAUCUUUUUGGUCAAAAAAGGGGUGUAACAUCAUGUCCAUCGACCUUUUUGUAUUUAAGGACAUGUUAAUGACCACCCACUCUAUCUUGAGUCGGGGGUCUAUCGAAAACAACCUCUCUACUUCUUUAUAGGUAGUGGUAUGGACUGCGUACAUUCUAUCCUCCCCAGACCCCACUAGGUGGGAAUAUACUGGGUCUGUUGUUGUUGUUGUUGUUGUUAAUGACCACCAAAAAUAUUUAAACAUCACAUGAGAGUUCUUAUUUCAAAAGCAUAUGAAAACUUAUGCAGAACACUCUCUUUUCUAGUCUUUAAAACAUGGUAUCCAAUUCUUUCAUUAAUCACAUGCAUUUCUUUCAUUUAACACAAAGAGCAUUCAUAAACUAAGUAAAACAUGCUCUUAUUGGACCGUAAAACACAUCAAUACAUAAUUUAUAGUAAGCACUUAAAACCCAACAUUUAAUCACAUAAUAGAACAACCCAUAAUAUUCUAAGAUCAUAGGUUUCAUCAUGGGAGAGAAAAAUUUAUAAAUCACGUUCAUAAAGUGCUUUUUGAAAUUCAUAUCAUAUUUGCACAUGAUUAUAAAUAAAGGUUAUGUAAAACCCCAUGAUAAUUGCAUACUCUUCAUCAAAAUGGGUUCAUUAUACAUGUUCUUCAAAUGAGUUUUAAAAUCCAUUACACAUACGUAAUUAUAUAUCCUUGAAGUUUGUCAAUACGAUAAUCUUAAGACCAUGAGGUUUAGGAUAGUCCCACAUACCUUGAUAAUGACUAAAACACAAUAAAAUUUGACCCUUAGGAUCCUAGAUGACCUCCUCUUUGAACCCUAGCCUUGGCUUGCAAAGGGGGAGUUGAGAGAGAGGAUUUUUUAGAGUGAAAUAAUAGAUGUUGUGUCAUGAGAACUUACGGAAAUAGGUUAAUAUAGUGUUUAGAGGUUGUUUAUCAGUGAAAGGACUUCAAUACCCUUAAUCUCAAGUAAACAAAACCAUAAAUUUCCCAAAUUUGAAGCAUCAGUGUGUCGUGGAGGUAAUUCUCCGCCAUAAGCUCCAUGUUGCGCCUCCAUUGUAGACCCUCACAAGUUCCUCAAAAAAAUAUUCAUAACUUUUUGCUCGGGUAUCACAUUAAGGUGAAAUCGAAAGUGUUGGAAAAAUGACACUUUAUAUUUAAUUUGAUGGGUCUUGAAACCUUAAAUUCCACAUAUUGAAGAAGUUAUACAUGUUUAAAGUUGACCCUAGUAGAGUUGAAUUUCAAAAUUUGGUUGUUAAUGGAAGUUCUUAACUCCACUUCAGUCUAAGUAUUUAAUAUGAACAUUCUUACCCUCAAAAGCAAUUUUCACACAAGGAUAAUGAUCAUGACACUUAGCUAUAUAUAGAAACAAUUGGAUUCAAAUUUUUACAUGUAGGAAUAACUGUUCGAAUUCUCACCCGAAAUUGCGGAGUGUUACAUUAUCCCCCCUUGGGGAAUCAUUCAUCGCCGAAUGAUGACUCGGAACACACAUAAAGCACAAUUUUCAGAGUUACAUAUAAUAAAAUGAGUAAGAUAAUAUUAAUACCUUCCACAUCAUUGUCUGCGGAUUCAAAGAGUGAUGGAUAUCUUGCACGCAUAUCAUUCUCUGACUCCUAAGUAGUUUCUUCAACUUUAUAAUUCUUCCACAAUAUUUUAACUAAAGCUAUCUCUUUACUUCUCAACUUCCAAACUUGAUGAUCAAAAAUAGUUGUGGGUUCUUCUUUAUGCACUAACGAAUCCUUCACUUUAAUUUUCUCUGCAGGCAACACAAGCGAAUGAUCUUCAAUACACUUCUUAUCAUUGACAUAUAAAGCAAAAUAUGGACGAAAGCUAAACUUGUAGGAAAAUAUCAUACAAAACUCUACUAAUCCUCCUCAUAAUCUAAAAGGUACCUACGUAACGAGGACUGAGUUUUCCUUUCUUCCCAAAUCUCAUGAUUCCCAUCAUAGAGGAGAACUUUAGAAACACCCAAUAAUCAACCUCAAACUUUUACUCCUUCCUUACACCAACGUAGGACUUCUGAUGACUUUUGGAGGUCUUAAGCCUCUAUCUAAUGACUUUUACCUUCUCCAUCGCUUGAUGAACAAGGUCAAAUCCAAAAAAAAAGUCUCACCCACUUCUACCAACCAGAACAAGGUCAGGUACAAACAAAUGGGUCUCACCCACUUCAUACAAACCAAUCAGUAACCUACACCUCCUCCCAUAAAGAGACUCAAAAGGAGCCAUCUGGAUGCUAAAAUGGUAGCUAUUUUUAUACACGAUUUCUAUCAAAGAAAAAUGAUCCACCUAGCUGCCCUUAAAUUUAAUCAAGCAAGAACUCAACAUAUCUUCUAAAGUCUUAAUGGUAUGCUCUGUUUGCCCAUCCGCUUGAGGGUGAAAGGCAGUGCUAAGGUUUACUUAGGUAACCAAACCUCUCUGGAAAGACCACCAAAACUGAGAAGAGAAUUGCAUACCUCGAUCAGAUAUAAUGGAUAUAGGAUCCCCAUGCAAUCAAACUAUUUCUCGAAUGUACAACUUUGUAUAAUCGUCCCCCAAAUAAUUAGUCCUUACCUGCAGAAAAUGAGCAGAAUUGGUCAUCCUCCCUACAAUUACUCAAAUAGACUCAUUUUUGUUCUAAGAUCGUGAAAGCCCAGUAAUGAAGUCCAUAUGUCAUCUCCUAUUUCUAUAAAGGAAAAGGUAUGUAAUGGGAGGUACCACCUGUCCUCAAGUGCUCUACCUUAACUUGUUGAAAAUUCAACCACUUAGCGACACAGUUAGCAAUAUCUCUUUUCAUGUUAUUCAUAUAAUAAAUCUACUUGAGAUGAUGAUACAUUUUUGUUGAGCAGGGUGAAAAACAUGCUUAGAAGUGUGGGCUCCAUAAAGAAUUUUUUCUCGCAACCCAUGCACAUUCGUCAUACAUAACUUACCUUGGUAUCUCAAACCUCAUCACCUCUAAUUUAUGACCUUUUGUUGACCAACAUCAUCCUUAAUCUGCAUUAAUAUGGGAUUUCUGCGCUGCUUUUCCUUCACUUCUGCAUAAAGGGAUGACUUAGCUACCUCUUGGACGAAUAAACCUCCCUCUUAGAGUCUAGGAGUCAGACUCCCAGAUUAGCAAGCCAAUGAAUUCUUUAACCAAAUUCCUCUUUCCUUCCUCAACAUAUAAGAUACUGCUCUUAUACAACCUUCUAAGAGCAUCAGCAACCACGUUAGCCUUACUCAGAUGAUAAUGCAGGCUCAUGUCAUAAUUCUUUAGAAAUUCCAACCAUCACCUCUUCCUGAGAUUCAACUCUUUCUAUGUAAACACAUACUAUAAACUUUUAUGAUCAUUAAAGAUGUCAACACGAAUCCCAUAAAGAUAAUGACGCCAGAUUUUGAGUGCAAACAUCACAGCCGCUAACUCCAAAUCAUGAGUGGGAUAGUUUUUCUCAUGGACUAUCAAUUAUCUGGAUGCAUAGAUGUAAUACCCCAUACUUUUUCUAGAUUAAUUUUUCUCCUAGAAUGUCAAGGAUUAGCUUUAAAAAUAAAUAUCUUUUGUUACGUGUGAAAUUUUCUAUAUUUAGACCCUCCAUUAAGUAGGAAAUUGAAUAAAGCUUUCAUCGAUACCAAAUUCACCUAAAUCCGAUACUCAGUUGAGAAGUUUGGGCAAUCAUCGCAUUGCGUGGAGCCUAAAUUCCCUAUUGUCACAUUUCACUAGUCAUCUAUGAUUGCCUCGCAUCGCGGAGAAGCCUAAUUUUAUAUUUGUCAAUUUCCAGUAGGCCAAUGCGAUGGUACCGUAUCACGUUGAUGGAUUGAAUGGCAUUCCAAAUGCGCAUUGCGAUAGCUCCGCGUCACAGAGAACUUCCAGUUUCCAGUCAUCAAAAACCAGUGAGCCACCGAGAUAGCAUGCCAGUUAGAAAAAAAUCUUUUGUUUCCAGUUCUGAUUAAAUUUUAAAAGGAGCACUUUUGUCAAUUCCCAAGCCCCAAAUUCAUCAAUAACACAAGAUCAAACAUGUUCCAUGCCUAUUAUGCUUAAUUUCAUCCAUUCUCUUCCAAAGAGAAACCCUAGAGCUGAAAGCUUCUUCUCCAAGAAAGCUCAAAUUAAGGAUUCCAAAGACAAGAUAAUCAAGACUUCAUCUUCAAUAACUCAAAAAGGAAUCAAAAAUUCAAGUUUCAUUAUGUAAUCAUCAAAAUUAAGGUAUGUGGGGUUUAUGAACAAGAAUUGCCCUUCAUCAUUGUGCCCAAAACCAAGUUUUUUUUUUCAAAUUUAUAUGAUUUUGAGUGAUUAUACAUGAGUUUUUAAUUAUGGUUCAUAUCCAUUAUUGCUAAUGUAAGCUUAUGAGAUUUCAAGUGUUUAUGAAGUUAAAUUGCAUGUCUAUUUCUAUAUUUUCAUGCCUAUUGUGGUAAAUUCCAGAUUUUGAAUUGAAUUAUCAUUGUUUUCAUUUCAAGCAUGAUUAUUAUGAUGUUUUUGCACGAACUUGAUGCAAGGGUUAUUAAGCUCAAGUUCAUAUGUUGAUAUUUCAAGAAAGAUGGUGCUUUAAGUAUCUUAUGAUCAGAUUAUUCACAGAUUUUCAAUAAAGCUUUAAUGUUUUGAUCCUCAGAUAAGAUUUGGAAUCCACUUUAUAGAUUUAUUACAGAUUACUAAAUUUAGAUUAGCUUUAUUUAUAAAAUGACUCAGAUAAAGGCAUAGUUGGUUUCGUAAUGAACUAUUAUACUAGAUUUUAAAGUGGAUUUCCAAAAGAACGAGCAUACAAAUUAAAAAAAGAGUAGUAUUUAGCAACGGGCGAGAAGUGUGGAUUACAGAUGUGAUCACUUAGAUUAGGUUAUACUCCUUGGAAAGAGGAUGACACCUCUCCCCAUCGUGAGGUUUUCCUCAUAGGGAAACAAGACGUUGGACUCCAUAUUAGCUCACAUAGUUUAUAUCAGUUAGAAGAACCUCCCUUCAGAAAAAAUAUUUUCCCAACAGACUACAGAUUUUUGAACAGAAUAAUCUUAACAGAAAAGAUUUUAGAAACUAAGUGUAAAGGCUCACAACUUUAUUCAGAUUAUGCUUUGUAGAAAGAUAUUAGCUACAAAUUUUAGCUUUUGGAUUUUAGAUUUAAGAGAAUCCUUUCUAGACUUAGACAAUAUGAUUUACAGACAGAACAUUAGUACAACUUUCAAAACUAAAUUUUAUGACUCACUAGAUUUACAAAGUAUGAUUUGUUAUUCAUGAAUACAAAUUUCAGUAUUUCAGGAAUUCCAGCUUAUGUGAGUAAUUAACAUCUAACAUGCAUUAUUUUACAAAUUAUGAUGAUGAGAUAGUGUUUUACUUAUGCAUUCACCCCCAUAUACUCAGUACAUCCCAAAAGUACUGAUUGACAUAUACAUCUAUGUGCUAUAUUGUCUCAUAAUGUAGGUUCAGGUGCUCAGUUCCAGCAGUGUAAGUGAUUUGGAGCAUUUUCAUCUACGUCUGACAGUUGGUGAGUCAUUAUAGUUUGGGGACUUAUUCAUUUCGAUUAUAUAGAUUAUUAGUUUAGAUGAUUCAGUAUUCUUUUUAGACAGUUAGAGUUAACUGGGGGUUUGUCCCAGUAACUCCCUAGUUAUUAGUAGUAGAGGCAUGUCAGACUGCUAGUUACGAUUCAUACUUACAGUAUUUGGUUUCCAGAGAUUUCAUUUGGAUUACUCUCAGUUAUUUCAUAUAUAUUUCCCCAUUUAGAAUGAUUAUACAUCCAUAUUUCCACUAUUAUGAGAUUCGGACUUAGUAGAAGCAAACAAGGUUAGCUUAAGGCUACUCAUAAUCUUGAGCACCGUGUGACAUCUUAGGACCAGAUUUUGGGGCAUUAUAAUAGGCUACCACUUUCCUAUGCUGCAUCAUUAAAAUCCCAAGUCCCACCAGGGAUGCAUCACAAUAAACCACAAAUCCCUCUAUACCCUCAGAAAGGGCCAAAAUAUGUGUAGUAGUCAAUUUUUCUCUCAACAUCUUAAAACUAUUCUCACAAUAGUCAGACCACAAGAAUUUUACCUUCUUCUAAUUUAAUCUGGUAAGUGUUAGAAGCUACGGAUGAAAAUCUCUCUACAAAUCUCCUGUAAUGACCAGCCAAACCUAAGAAGCUCCAAAUUUUGGUUGGAGUUGUGGGUCUGGGCUAUUUCUUUAACACCUCAACCUUUUGGGGAUCCACUUUAAUUCCCUCACUAGAAACAAUGUGCCCUAAAAAAGUUAUAGCACUAAGACAAAACUUACAUUUAAAAAACUUGUCAUACAACUCAUGAUCCUUAAGGGUUUGAAGGACGAUUUAGAGGUAUUGGAAUGAUCCUCCUCACUUAGAGUAAAUCAAGAUGGAAUCAAUGAAUACUAUGACAAAUAGGUCCAAAAACUGAUGAAACACUCUAUUAAUGAGAUCCAUAAAUGUUUCAGGGCCUUAAGUCAGUCCAAAGAACAUAACCGAGAAUUCAUAGUGACCAUAUUGGGUUUAGAAAGCGGUCUUGGGAAUGUUAGCCUCCCUAACCUUCAAUUGAUGAUACCACUAAUGAAGGUCUAUUUUAGUAAAAUAUUUGGCACCCUGAAGUUGGUCAAAAAGGUCAUCAAUUCUUUGAAGUGGGUACUUAUUAUUAAUUGUGACUUUGUCCAGCUGACGGUAAUCUAUACACAUAUAGAGGAAGCCAUUUUUCUUACGCGCGAAGAGUACUAGAGAACCUAAGGAGAGACACUAGGACGGAUAAAGCCUUUAUCAAAAAGGUCUUUUAACUGCUCUUUCAACUCUUUUAAUUCUGUAGGAGGUAUCCUAUAUGGUGGAAUAGAGAUAGGCCGGGCGUCUGGCUGUAGGUCAAUACCAAAAUCUAUCUCCCUAUCUGGGGGUUUCCAGGGAGAUCAUUAGGAAAGGCUCUUGGGAAUUUAUUAACUACUGGAACUGGCUAAAGGGAAGUACUUUUAGUGUUAGAAUCUUUGACCUGAAUAAGAUGAUAUAGAUAACCCUCAGAUAUGAGUUUACGAGCUCUAAGAUAAGAUAUGAACUUCCCUCUAGAAGCAAGAGAAUAUCCCUCCCACUUUAUUACUGGCUCAUUAGGAAAAUAGAAGGUGACCUUUCUGGCUCUACAGUCUAAUUUAGCAUAGCAUGAAUAGAGCUAAUUCAUCCCCAGAAUAGCGUCAAAAUCAAUCAUAUAAAGCUCAAUAAGGUCACCAUAAUAUCUAGACGGGAAACGAAUACCACAUAAUUUUUAAUAAAAUCGUCCAUCAACUAUAGAGUCACUAAUAAGAGAAGAGACAAAAGGGUUCGAGAAUAUUUUCGGGCUCAAAACCAAAAACAAAUUCCAUAUAAGGUGUCACAUAAGACAAGGUAGACCCCGAAUCAAGCAACACAUACAUAUCAUGGGAGAAAAACUAUAACAUACCCAUAACAACAUUUGGUAAAGCCUCCAAGUCCUGACGCAUAGAUAAUGAUAAAAUUGGUUAUGUCUCUCGCCUGCUCUUAGAGCAUUCCCCUUAAAAACUGGGGCAAAGGAUGUAGAAGCUGGGGCUUUGCUGCCCCAAAAUAUCCCCUUUGUCGAGGUAUAGUAUCUAAGGAUAUGGCCGAGCAGACAACACCUAUAACAUAAACAGAUCCCCCGCUAGCAUCUUCCUGAGUGGUUUUUUCUACAAGUACCACAGUUAGGGUAUUGUCUGAAUGGCUAGGCCACACUUCCUUGAGACUAAAUAGCCUGAUCUCUGAGUCUAUCUCCGGACUAAAACUGCUUCUCACCCGAAUGCCUGGGUGUAGAUGCACUAAUUGAUGACUAAACAUUGGCCCAAAAUUUCUUCUUAAAUGAUUUCUUAUCCCAUUUGCCAUCCAACUACUGAUUGGUAUUCUGAUCUGUAGACUUAUCCCUGAUAAUUUGCCUUUCUUUUUUCUCUACCUCAUUCUUCUUCUUCUUCUCCUUUUCUACCUGUUGUAUAUACACUAUUAGCCUGGUGAUAUCCAUGUCCUUGUUCAUCAUUGCCCCCUUAUAUUCCACUACCAAAUCAUUUGAGAGAUAAGAUACAAACUUUCUCAUAAAAUCCCUCAUGCUACACACCAACUCUGGAGCAUAACGAGACAACUGAGUGAAUUUCAAUGCAUAUUCUUUGGCACUCAUCUUCCCCUAUUUUAGAUUAACAAAUUCCUCAGCCUUGACCUCCUAAAAUUCUAGGGGAAAGAAAUAAUGCUGGAAAACUUCUAAGAACCUCACCAUACAGCAGGUUCAGUAUCCUCAUCUCUCAACUCUUCCCACUCAUUACCACUGGUAAGCCACGUCCUUCAGUUGAUAAGUCGUAAACUCUUUUCCUUUAGUAUCAUUGCAUGCAUGACUCUGAGUAUUUUCACCAUUUCAUUUAUAAACCCUUGAGGGUCCUCCUUAACCCUAAUACCCAUAAAGGUGGGUGGGUUCAGCCUCAUGAAUUGUCCGACCCGAGUGAUUUCAGAAGAACCAAGCACAAAACUCACAUCUAUAAAAUGACAAGAUUGAGAAGCCACAAGUUGAGCAAUCAUGUGGAUAGACUGACUAAACUAAAUAUUUUAGACCUCUCUAUAUGGGGACUAAGUAUGAUUGAAAUUGGUCCAAGGAGGUCUUGUUUGGACUGGAGGAGCCCCUUGAGUAGCAGUGAACUCUAGGGUAAGGGCUCUGUAAUGGGUCCGCAUCACAUGAGUAGAGCGGACAUAAUCAGCAUUUCUCUCUAUAGGGACGGAGGUCUUGGAAAGGGUGUUUAGGUCAUUGGAUCUAUGGUGAGGCAUGAUCUAAAACAUAGAAAAUCGGGAGUUAGAAAACAUUCAGACUCUAUACCAUAAAUAGAACAUGAAGGAAAGAGAAACAUUCCUAAAUGCCUUGUAGCUUCCUUCUUAUAAGUGUGGCGUGCUACAUACUCAUAAAAUGAACUCCAGUCGACAUGGCUUUGUAGACACCUUGGGACCCUAAACUGUGCUCUGAUACCAUGCUUGUCACAACUUGACCCAAGGCCCUACUCUUCACAAGCAUCCUAAACCACGAAGUUUUAGGAGGCCUCCUUAUCAUACUAUCAUAAGCAUAACUCAUAUGAAAUAAAGUGUGGAAGAUAAUUGAAACAUGAUAAUCCCAUAGUCAAAAUUCAUAAUUCAAGACAUCAAUCCAUAAGAAAAUCAAAAUCCAUUCUACACUAGUCUACGGAGCCUCUACUGAACAGAAAACACUAAUCUGACUAAAUAAGGACAAGGCCCCCAACUGCGUAUCUUGAGCUGGGGGUCUAUCAAAAAUAGCCUCUUUACUUCUUUGGAGGUAGCGGUAUGUGUUGUGUAUAUUUUACCCUUCCCAGACCCCACUUUGUGGGAAUACAUUGGGUUUGUUGUUGUUGUUGUUGUUGUUGUUGCCCCCGACUGGAUUAUAAAAUUGAAUAAGACUAUAUAUGGAUAGAAUGCAUUUUAGUGUAAAGGAGGCUCGCCAACUCUAAAAUUCUGGGAAUAAUCUAUUAUUUAGCUGGACCCUGGGACUAAUCCUCAAAACCUGUGGUGAGGGGGUUCAAUACUCAGAAAAGUCUUGGUAUGUAGAACAAUCCCAAAAUAUAACUUAUAUUUUGCAUAACAUAAGUGAGCAUUUCAUAAAAACAAGUUAGCAUAAGGUAAAUAAAAACACAUAGGCAUAAUAUGAAGAACUUCAACCAUUCUAGUAAAACAUUUACUCAACUCUUGGUGUCUUCUGAGCUAAAUAGUACAUCCUACAACUUAGUACCCACAAGCUACAUGGGUCUGCCAUUAACUAGUCGGCUAAGACCUCAACCCAAGUUUGCCACAAGGGUUGGAGUUUCAACUAUCUGGUACACCAAAAGCACAUACCAAUACAUUCCAUAUUUCAAGAUAUCAUAAAUCCAUAUCGGUAGGAUACGAUUUUGGACAAUGUGUUAUCUAACUCAUGCCUUCUUCAGGUAACUGUCUAGCUCUCCUAGUGCCCAUUUUUAACCUCUUAAAACAAUGUUCAUUCUUAUAAAAAGUUUGUCUCUUAUCUAUUAAGAGCAUUUCAUAACAAGAUAUCAUCAUACCCAUACUUGCAAGUCAUAUCGUAUCAUCACCCUUUUUCAUUUAAAAGCAUGUUAAUGACCACUCACAAAAUUUAAACAUCACAUAAAAGUUCUUAUUUCAAAAGCAUAUGAAAACUUAUGCAGAACACUCUCUUUUCUAGUCUUCAACACAUGGUGGCUAAUUCUUUCAUUAGUCACAUACAUUUCUUUCAUUUAUCACAAGGAGCAUUCAUAAAUUAAGAAAAACAUGCACCCAUUAGAUCAUAAAACACGUCAAUCCAUAAUUGAUGGUAAGCACUUAGAACCCAACAUUUAAUCACACAAUAGAACAACCCAUAACAUGCUAAGACCAUAGGUUUCAUCAUGGGAGAGAAAAUUUCAUAAAUCACGCUCAUAAAUCACUUUUCAAAAUUCAUAUUGUAUGUGCACAUGAUUAUAAAUAAAGUUUAUGUAAAACCUAUGAUAAUUGGAUACUCUUCAUCAAAAUGGGUUUAUUAUACAUGCUCUUCAAACGAGUUUCAAAAUCCAUUACAUAUGCGUAAUUAUAAAUCCUUAAAGCUUUUUAAUAUGAUAAUCUUAAUCCCAUGAGUUUUAGGAUAGUCCCACAUACCUUGAUAACGAUGAAAACGUAAGAAAAUUUAAUCCUUAGUACACUAGAUGACCAUCUCCUUGAACUCUAGCCUUGGCUUGAAAAAGGGCAUUUGAGAGAGAGAAUUUGUUAGAGUGAAAUAAUGGAUGUUGUGUUGUGAAAACUUAUGGAAAUAGGUUAAUAUAGUGUUUAGAGGUCGUUUAUAAGUGAAAGGAAUUCAAUAAUCUACCUCUCAAGAAAACAAAAUCAUAAAUUUCCCAAAUUUAAAUCAUCGGCGCGUCGUGGAGGUAAAUCUCCGCCAUAAGCUCCAUGCCACCCUGCCAUCGCGGAUCUUCACUGGUUUCUCACGAAAAUGUUCAUAGCUUUUUUCUCGGGUAUCGAAUCAAGGAGAAAUAUGAUGCGUUAGAAAGGACACAUUUAUCUUUAAUUUGGUGGGUCUUGAUCCCCAAAAUUCUACAUAUUCUAGAAGUUAUACACAUUUAAACUUGACCCUGGUAGAAUCGAAUUCAAAGUUUGGUCGAUAACGAAAGUUCUUAACUCCACUUUCCUCUAGGUGUUUAAUAUGAACAUUCUCCCCCUCAAAAUCACUUUUCACUAAAGGAUAAUGAUCAUGCCACUUACAUAUAUAUAUAUAUAUAUAUAUAUAUAGAGAGAGAGAGAGAGAGAGAGAAAUAAUUGAAUUCAUGUUUUUACACGUAGGAAUAACGGUUUUUAAAUUAUGUAUUCGACAUAUUUCAUGCGUAUAAAUUUGGAGAUUUGGGAGUACUCAAAGAUAGAAAUAUGCUACAAUUUCAAAUUUUAAAUUAUGUUAUUUUGAUAUAUGUGUUAUAAAUGUAUUUACAUUAUAGUGAAUGUAUAUCAAGAUCAAAUAAGAUCUAGUUGAUAUGUAUCAGGAUUUGAUGUAUUUGUCUUUUAAUGUGAAAUUAAGGGGAAAUUUCCCCAAUAAAUAGAAGGGUUUCCUUCAUUGUAAAUCAUCCCUCAAGAGAAGAAAUAAGAAUCACUCUCUCUAUUCUCUAUACUCUUCUUCUCUAUUCUUUAUUGUUUCAUAACACGUUAUCAGUACGAGACUCUAGCAUAUGCCGAUCAAGGUAAGUACGAUUCUCAAAAUUUGUAAUGCUUUGAAACUUCAUAAAGUCACUUUUGUAACUUGGUACAAUGAAAGUUAUUUUUAUAUAACAAGGAAUUAUUUCCUAUGUCUUAAUAUUAAGAAUCACAUGUGAAAAGCUACUAACAUAUGAUAUUUAUUUGUUUUAUAAAAUAUUCUUCGUAGCAUUUGUACGAGGUAGCUGGCUUCUCUAAUAUUGUUAUUUACUGUAUGUGCUUUGCUAUCUAUUGGUUGUACCACUAUUCCAAUGAAUGAUUUCUAACCUGAAAGACUAACAUGUCUUAAUGUGUACCAGUGAAGCAUUGUGUAAAGUAUUGCAUCAUUAACAAUGUAAAUUUAUGUAAUAUAUGGCUAGAUGAUAAGAAUGGCCACCGCGUGUAUAUAUAUCACAAGUUUUAUAUCUUGUUGGGUUUGCUGGAUCUGAAAAAAAUUGGUUCAAAAUUAUUUAUGUCUCAUUUGUUCACUUUUUUUUUCUCGAAGAGCAAAUUUAUAAGAUGAUGGAUUCAAAUAUCACUACAAUAAAAAGAUAAGACAUUGAGUUAAAGUUUCGAUGAUGAGGUGUUGGGUUCAAGUUUAAUUGAUUUUUGCCUAAGACGCCUUUAUAUGGAUAAGAUAUUAAGUUUGAAUCUCAAUAUACCAUACUGAUGAUAUUAUAAUGGCUAAGGCAAAAUCAUAGAUAUUGUGUGAAAAGUCAUGAAAUUUGACCCAGAAUAUGCUCCAUUCCAUGAAGUGAAUGUGGUAGAAAUAUAUGAUAAGUUUGAAAUAUGACAACUUACUUCAUUCUUGAGGUAUAUGUGAUAGCAGUGCAUAAUAUGUCUGAAAGAAGACAAGUGAUUGAAUGCACGAAUAUACGCGUAGAGGGACAAUAUGAUAAUUAUCAUCAAAAGUGAUGAUAUUUUUGCACGCAUAUUAUGAUCUAAGAUAUGAUAGAGAAAAAUUCUCUAGAUCAUAUGUAUGCCUCGAGUUGCUCCUGAAGUAGCAAUAUUUUGAAAGAGGUUCUAAUCUAUCAAAAUUUGAUAAACUUAAGGCAUGGUUAUAUUCCAUUCCUAGAGAAUGAGAAGUUUAUUAAUGCAAACGUGCACUUGAUUGUGAUGGUAUCACAACCUACUUCAGGAAUAGUAAAUCUGAAAUUUAUUCGUGUAAUAAUAAAUCUGAAAUUUGCUAAAUUAAAAAGCACAUGUCAUGGUAAACUUGGAGUUUACUAGCAUAAAAGUUCAUAAGUUGACAUGAACGAUUGGGACAUCUUAAAGAUGUGCAUAUUAAGUAUUAAACAUAUAUUGAAGAAUUUGAAAAUUCUUCAUGAACUUUAAUAUUUCUUGUUCUCAUGAUACGUUGGUUGGACCAACUAAUUUUGAGAUUGGAUCCCUCAAAAUUUGAAAAGUAUAAAUGGUGAACAUGGGCCCUUUCACCAGUCAUGUGAUCGAUUAAGAUGCAUCGAUCUAAGAUGAUCACAUAUUGUCAGCCUACAGCUUGACAUUCGUAAAGUUGCUUGCUCAACAUGAUUGAGUUAAGAGCAUAACUUUCAGACUGCGUAAUCAAGACAAUUCAUCUUGAUAAUGAUGAUUUAGUAUUGAAUUCCUUCGAUAAAUAGCUAAACCAUUGCUAAUGAGAACAAAAGUUCAUAUGUUGGUUUGAAAUAGUUACAGAAGUACUUGUAUGCAUCAAAUCAAUAAAUUAUGAUUAUUUCUUCCAUUUCAAUUUGGUUCAAGGUCAAAAACCAACUAUUCCAUCUAAUAGUUAACGUGCAGUAUACGAUUAAUGAAUAUAUCAUGCUGCAUAAAUAUGGAUUCUCUAAAGUAAAUUGAGAUGUAUGUUAGUUUUUCUAACAUAAGGGGGAGAUGAUAAGUAGCUAUAAAAUAUGUUAGGAAUUAUCAUGAGAUCCUUAUUCAAAAGAUAAUUCAAGUCAAAUGUCGAAAAUAUCUCAUGCUUAAGCUGCACGUGUUCUUAUUUUGUGUCCUUAAAGGACAAAGUCUACGCAUGCAUGAAGCAUGGUAGACUAAUCGGUUUCAAAUAAAAUAAUCCUUGAAAAGGAUAAGGAGAAAAUAAUAAUGAUAAGAAGACAAUGUGCUCUUGAAGAGCCUACGACAUGACACUUCAUGAAACCUUAUGAAAGGUCUAGGUACCUGAAAAUAAUGAAGUGAUGAAAUUUCAAAAUAUUAUGUCGCAUUGUGAACCGAUACAAAAUGAUAUAUCAUCAAUGAUCUUUGAUACAAUAUUGGUGCAAUAUUGUGAAGGAUUAUGAGGAUCUAAAUUCUACGUUAAUUUAAGCAUGCUAACAUAGAAAUAUUUAUCAAGUGACCUGAAAGCAUGCAUUUUGGUAAGCGUAAAACUUAUUUGAUUUGUACUCCAGAAGCUUGAAGAUGUCACACUUGACAUGUUGGAUAUUGUUACUUGACAAACAUCCAUAUGAAAAUUCCUGAAGGAUUCAAAAUGCCUGAAGCAUAUAAAGUUUCUGGAAAACUUUUUAUUAUCCUCAUAAUAUAUAAUUUGAUGAUCUGAGUAUCAUUGAAACUCUUAGAGAGUUUUCAAAAGUAAUAGAGUAUUUGCUUAAAUGAGAAACACGCAAAAAUUGAAUAAGGAUCCAUUCUAACCUAAAGAAAACAAUGAGGAGCUCCUUGAUUAUGAAGUACCAUAUCUUAGUGCAAUUGAUCCACUAAUGUAUCUUGCAAAUACUACAAGGCCUGAUAUAGCCCUUUUUUUAGUUAAUUUGUUAGCAAGUUUGCAGUCCCGAUCUUAUUGGUCAUACUGAUUUUGGGUACUUAUCUGACCUACAUAAAGCUCGGUCUCAAAUAGACUAUGUUUUCAUAGGUGGUGGUACUACAAUAUCUUGGAGAUAUACAAAGCAGUCUAUCGUAGCCACUUCAUUGAAUCAUGCUGAGAUAAUAGCUAUUCAUGAAGCAAGCUGAGAAUCUAUAUGGUUGAGGUCAAUGAUACAUCUCAUUCGAGAAAAAUGUGGUGUGGAAUAUGGCAAUCUACCCACAAUUUUAUACGGAGAUAAUGCAUCAUGCAUAGCACAUCUUAAUGAAGGAUUCAUAAAAGGAUAUAGAACGAAGCACACUUCAUCAAAGCUUUUUUACAUACAUGGGCUACAAAAGAAUGGUGAUAUCAAUGUGCAACAGAUUCGUUCAAGUGAAAAUGUGGCUGAUUUAUUCACCAAGUCUUCUCCAAUUAUAACUUUUAAGAAGAUGAUGCACAAAAUAGGGAUGCAAAGGUUCAAGGAUGUUCUCAUUAGGGAAGUUAAUGCUCGUUGUACUCUCACGAGAUUUUGUCCCACUGGAUUUUCCUUGUAAGGUUUUUAAUGAGGCAGUCGAUACACGUAUUUUUAGAAAUGUGUACUUUUUUUUCUUCACUAGAUUCUUUUUCCUAUUGGAUUUUUUCUAGUAAGGUUUUAACGAGGCACAUUAUCUAUCUAGAUAUUCAAGGGAGAGUGUUAUAAAUGUAUUUACAUUAUAGUGAAUGUCUAUCAAGAUCUAAUAAGAUCUAGCUGAUAUGUAUCAGAAUUUGAUGUAUUUUUCUUUUAGCGUGAAAUUAAGGAAAAAUUCCCCCAAUAAAUAGAAGGGCUUCCUUCAUUGUAAAUCAUCUCUCAAGAGAAGAAAUAAGAAUCACUCUCUCUAUUCUCUAUACUGUUCUUCUCUAUUCUUUAUUGUUCCAUGACAAUAUGUUAAUUUUGGUUCUUUAAGUGUGUAUUUUGGAUAAAAAAAUUAUAUUUUAUUUUGUUUUAAGAUUACUGUGCUAAUUUAUAGAUCACAAAGUCUUAUUUUCUUUCAAUCUUUUAUUACAGAGAAUGCAGUGGAUAUAUAAAAACCAUCAAUAGGUAAAUUUUCUGUUAAUCUUUAUUCAUUUUAUCUGUUUGUAUUUUUAUUAUCUAUGAUUGUUUACAUAAUUAUAAAUUCUUGUUCAAAAGUUUUUUAUUUGCAAUACCUUAUAAUUUGUUGUUGAAAUUAGCUUUUUUUUGUUAUGAAAAAUAAAAUGUAUUCUUUUUUUUCAGAUUGAAAUUAAUCAUAAAUAUUAUUAAAUUUAUUGCGCUUCAUUAAUUAAAUUCUAAUAAAAUCGUCACUAAAGACUCUACGAAAGAUAAAAUUGUUUAAUAUUAUUUUUCAAAUAUUUUAAAAUUUAAUAUUUUAGGCCCUCUUUUACACUUCACUUGUGCAUUUCCUUGGACGGAUUCAUUAUGCACUCAUUCACGUCCAUCCUCGUGGUCGUAUUUGUAUCAUCCUCCUCUUCUUGAAAAGGAUUCAACCUCGAAUCCGUACCUCACAAAAUCAAGAGAAGACAACAAGCACACAUCCUCAAGAUAUGAGGGGUUAGGGUUAUCAAAAUACACACAUCACAUUUCAUGCCGAGGGGGGGACAAACUUGGAGUAUAGCCACGGGUCCUUUGUGUUGAACAUAAAAAGCAUAGUACAAAAGACACAAAGAAAGCGGUCAUCAUCCAUAAAAAGAAAUAAGGAAGAACUUUGUCUUCCUUCAUUAGCAUCCACAACCAAACAUUCCUUGUCGUCUUGACCAAGCAUUAAGUGGGGAGUGUAGAGAUUUUCACAUUCCAAGAGGGUGCCGGGAUCAAAUGAAAAAAUUAGCCAAGGGCCUAAGCCGAGACUAUCCCUUCUAUGAACAAAACUAAUUGCAAUGUUUUUACCACACAAGAUGUUCAAAGAGUCAUGUGCAUUAUCAAGAUCAAUUUUAUAGACAUCAUCACUAACUUGAGAAUUUUUAAGCACACUAUUCACAUGCUCAAGUAGUGAACUACAUUUAAGAGUAAAUUGAUCAUCAUGCACACCAAGAGUACUAAUUUCUGUGACUACACAUUCCUUGCCCAUAAAAGUACUCUCAUCUUCCAAUAAGAGAUUUUCAUCUUUAGGAGGAAUGUUGUCACACCAUAGUGGGUUAGCAUAUCGGCUAUAUCCUUCAAGGCAAACUAUACCAUUAUUUACACCACUAGGUUCAUUAGGAAUGUUUAUAUCAUCUUCAAACAAAACAUUAAACCUAAAGAAAGCAUGAUCUAUCUCAUGGACAGAUUCGGAACUAGCAAGUGCUUCGCUCUCUAUAAGUUCACUAUCACGUAGCAAAGAUAUUUCAAUCUCCUCUUUACCUUGGUGUAGGUGGGGUAGCCCACCUCUUCCUUAGGAAAGCUUUCGUCACAAGGUGUUUGGACAAAGGAAUUUGGAUUUUGUGGGAUAAGUUUAGGUAGCAAUUGGCAUAGAUUUUCCACGUGCCAUUUCAUUUCUUCAAUAUAGUCGGUAAUGCGGUCAAAUAUGGUAUCGAGAUUGGUGGCAGCCAUGGUACCUAAAAGAAAAGACAACAAUGAACAACAAAACAAACAAACUUGUUAGCUCAAAAAUGUCUGACCACACUCUCACUCUCGAUUUUUACCUCACACUUGGUUUCACAAGUGUUAAAAGCCAGCUUGUACUUCGUGAGUGAUUGAGGGAUGAGUCUAUCUUUGCUCAGAAUAGAUUUUCCUAUGAGUUGACUCAAAAGAAAAUUUUUUUAUGGACUUGAACCAACAAGACACAACGAAUUGAAAAAAGAGAAAAGCACACAACAAACGCUUAACACGAAUGAACGACCACAAAGACUAACUAACAAUCUAGUAGAUGAGUACUAGCUUGCCAAUUAGUAGUGGAACCAACGAGAUUGAAACUAAGAAACAACAAAAGAAAACUAAGAAAUCUAAAAUUUAAGCCAAAAUUUGAUGCGUGAACAGUAACUUGAUGAUGUGGUAGCCACGUAUUGGUUGCGGUUUCUACAAUUUUUAUUUUCCAACAGACCAAUUUUAAUUUGGAUUGGUGGAAUUUGUUUUAAGGAGGGAAGAAUAAGUCUUGGAGCCUUUUUUCAAGUUUCAAAUUUCAAGACUUGACUUUUGUAGUACUUUUCCUUAAAACAUGGACUCUUAUUUCAUGAAAAAGUGGUUUAGAAGUGAUAUAAAGACUUUUGGUGGUUGGGGGUCUUUCAAGACUAUCAAUUACUUACACCUCUUUCCUUUUCUAAAAAUAUAUGAAGGAAGGUGAAGAACUUAAAGAACAACAACAACCACACAAGGAACAAUAACAACAAUCUUCAAGAACAACAAUAAUUCCAAUGGCCAACUCCAAUCCGCAACAACAAACGACCAAGUUUCUUUAGUGUUCUGUCUUCUGUUUUAACAAAAGAUGAAGAUUGUGAAGAACUUUAAGAACAACAAAAACAUUCACCAAGAAACAAAAACAACAAAAAUCCUUUCAACAACAACAACCAAACACACGGCCAGUCAAGUUUCUCAACAACAAUGUCUACCACAACAAUGUUCAACAACAAUGGGCCAAGGUUAUGUUCAUAAUAACAACAUCAAAAUACAAGCUCAAAUCAAGAUGUAGACUCAAUGUGUUAGAAUGGAACAAAACUAACACUUAUAGACAAAAAAUGAAAGUAAAAAUUUCGUCCAAGACACAACAAAAACAUAAUUUUCAGCCAAGAACACAAAAUGGACAGAUUGUUCUUUUUUUUUUUUUGGAAUUUUCAGUUUUCAAUUUUUUUUUUUUUGAAUUUUCAAGUGAGCUAGCCCAAGAUUUGAUCUUGUAGGAACAAGAUCAAGCCAUGCUAUGAUACCAAAUAAUACGAUAUUUACCAAGAACACACAAAACACACACUCAAAACAGUCCACAAGUUCAAGAGAAUCGAGCACCCUUUGAGUGACCCCUCUCGGAUUCAAGAUCUAUAACAAGAACACAAUGUAAUAAGGUGAUUAACACCUAUUUUAAGUAGAUAACAAACUAGAUUAACAACAUGAGAAUGAAGAACAAGAAGAACUUAACAAUGGGAAUAACAACAACAACACAAACGGGUACAAUACGAGAUACAAACAUGACAAGAUUGCAAGAAUAGAAAGGAUAGAUAGAGUGACAUACACUAUCUCAUGAACUAAGAACCUAAGUGUAUUCAAGCAUCUAGACCCUUAAUAAAAUGAUAAUAGAAACACUUACUCUCUUCGGUGAGUACAAGAGAGACCUCAACCUCCUCUAGCACCCAACGUUCUAAGCAAGAAUGCAACACUAGUGAUUCUACCCUAGUAUCACCCUAGGUACAAGUUUUGUAUUUGUGCCUCAAGGAGAGAGGACUUGUCUUUCAAUGUUAUACAACAUUCAUUAUCAUCAAAGUCUAAUGAAUGAAAUCCCAGAAGGUUCUAUUUAUAGAUAUUACAAAAAUAGUAUGAAAUAUCCAUAAUACCCCUCAAGGGUGAGGUGCCUAUCAAUUUCAAGAAGUGGGAUGAUUUUGGGUGUGUUUAGGCCCUCUUUUACCCUUCACUUGUGCACUUCCUUGGAUGGAUUCAUUACGCACUCAUUCACGUCCAUCCUCGUGGUUGUACUUAUAUCAUACUACAACACACGUUUCUCUUUAUUUUUUCAAGGAAAAACUAGUCAAUUACCUCGUAAAUCAUCCUAUAACUAAUACUAAUGUUAUUUACUUCAUUCCAUAACCCAAAUACACAAUUGCUCUCCUCCCAAAUUCCCAAGAACACCAAAUAAGGGCUUUUCACUAAAAUUCAAUCUCCCGAUGUCUCAAAUUCAAGUUCUUCUUAAUGUUUUCUCACAAAUUUCAUCAUCAAGGGUAUGGAAAAUAAAUCCAAGUGUUCAUAUAAAUUUCAAGCUAGGGUUUAGGCUUCAAAGUUAAGGAUUCAAGCUUUUUUCCAAAAAACUUUUGGCCAAAAGGCAUGUUGGAAACUCUCUAAUUUAAAUAUUAUAUUAUUUCAUAAUUCAAUUAUUAAGUGUUCUUGAAUGCUGAUUCUGAACUAGGAUUAAGGGGUUUGGGGUUGUGAUACUCUUGCAUGGUUUUUCCUUGUUUUAAUGAUUUAUUAUGUUUUAAAUGAUGGAUUAUGAACUGAAUUUGUGUAUUGCAAUAAUGGUGUAUUUGAUAAAUUGAAUUUCAGAAUAUUGAUGAAUUUUUGACAUGGUAAUGAUAUAAACCUCAACCCGCAUUAUAAAUUUUAGCUUUGAAUAAGGAUUUUAUACAAUUUUAAAUAAUCUUUUGAGAUAUUGCAUUAUAUUAAAGGAUAAAUGGAUGAAACGGUUUUGAAAAGCCCUUCAUGGUUAUGGCUUUGGAUUUUAAACAGUUUAUAAAGUCAAAUUGGUUAAAUAGUUAUGAUUUGUCAUAAUUGGAAUAGCUUGCAAGUCUAUUGGUAUGAUGAUAACAAGUUGAAAAUGCCUUAAUGAAAGACUCCAUGGUUAUUGGUAAAUAAAAUGUGAAAAAUAUUUUAAUUUGAACAUAAAAGGAAUCGUGUAGUUCACCGAGAAAGUGUAGUUUCGGGGGGGGGGGGGGGGGGACGAACACUGAAACUACGUUUUCCGACGUCGGGGGGUCUAUAUGACCACUAUGUCUGGUUUACAUAAUAUACUUUUGUACGGCUAUCACCUUGGUGUCUUUAGUCAAUCUCUGGUACAUGCGGCUAACAUAUGGGGCCCUUUAGGUAGGAGGAGUUGAAUCCAUGUAGCUUGUGGGUGCCUUUAGGUCAGAAUGAACUACACAGUUCAAGAUUAAGUUUUUAAACUAUGAUAUUUCAUUCCCUUUGACCCUAGUCCGACAUCCUAUAUAUGUAUAACUAUUAUUUACAGAAUUUAUGGCUGGUUUUUGAUAAAUACAUAUAUUUAUCUCUUUCUGUCAUGAUCCAACGACAAGGGUCAUGAUGACACUUAUCGUGACGUACCUUGACAAGUAAGCCUAUGACCUAAAUUAAUACACAAGAAAAAAACAAAAGACAGAAAUACACUAGGUAAUGCUUCUAGAACGAAGCCAAACCAUACAAGUAAGCAUAAUAAUGCGAAAAGAACUUAUCCAAAAUACCACUCAUACCCAAAACCAGUAGUCAAUAGUAUAAGAACUACUAAUACAAUAAAGGAGUCAAAUACAUCAGAAAAAUAAUCACAAAGAAUAAUAUCUUUAUUCGAAUACUAUUAACUACAUAACUAAUACAGAAAGAUAGGGGUGAACUCCAAACAUAUGAAUGUUAUACCACUACCUUUAGAAAUCUGAAGGCACCUGAAGUCAACCAAUUUGAGGUGCACCCAAACCUAAAGCUUCACCAAAAGGGUGAAGUAGGAGUGAAUAUGAUCCAUUUGUACUCAGUAGGUAUCAUAUGCCCAUCGAAAAAAGUAAAAAAUAAAGCUUACAAAAUGCAAACUAAGGGCACGUCACCUGCAAUUAGAAAAUAUACCACAAUGGUAGAUCAUACCGCUUAGACUAAGAGUCAUAAUAUAUCAUAUAUAUUGCCAGUGUUACUUGGGAGUUGCCAGAGUGGUAUCAAUUUUUCAUGAAUUUGAACGAUAUGACGAUAUAAUACUCACAACCAAUCACAAUGAGUAUUUCCCCAACCAACCACAAGAUAUAUUUUCACACCAACCAUAAUGAUAUAUUUCCACAGCCACAUAAGCCAAUAUCUACUCAUUAUUUUCAUUUCAUCAAUGAAUUUCUACAGGUCUUAUAUGCCAAUAAAGUAUGAAUAUAAUCACAAUACAAAAUGGUACAAUAUUAAGCAUUUUAAUAACACAAUACAAUUAUUUACAUAUUUUCAAGGUUAUUCGACCUCACAUGGUCACACAUAUCACAUAAUAUCUCAAUUUUGAUAAUUACAUCACACAUAGCCUCCACACCCCCCCCCCUCCACGGACACAACACAUAGAUAGAUUUUUUUAUGAUUGAUUUCCAUCAUUAACAUACAUUUUGUACCAUCAUUUACUAUCUAACCCAAUCUGAAAGCCAUAAUCUAACUCAAAAGUCGAAAUACCACAAAUAAGACUUUGCUCCCUAAUCUUUACUCAUCACGAACGGUCCCAAAUGUUAAUAAAAUAUUAAAUAUAGAAUCUACGUACUAAAAUAAAAUCAAUGACACUCAUAUUGACUACUUUUGAUUUGAGGCCAAAACGGGCCCCCGAAAUGGGUAUUCGAGAAAGAUAGAAAAAAAUCAUAACUUCACUUCAAAAAUAUAUUUUCUAUAUUUUUAUAAAUCUAAAGCUAAAAAUUGAGGUUAAAUUGAGUAAAAAUUGAGGUUCAAAUAAAAGAAAAAUUAUUUUUAAGCUUUACCGGGUAAAAAUCUUUGAAAUUCGAGUUAAAAUCAAGAAUUGAUGUUGUUUUGAAGGUUAAAUUGAUGAAAAACUAGUAAUUAUAAAAUUAAAAUAUUAUUCAAGUGAAAAGAAGUUGAGGUUUAAAAUCAAACCCUAAGAUUUUUGGGAUUUUGAGAAUUUAAUCAAGAAAUUACUAAGAAUAGGGUAAAUUCUUACAUUAAAUUCGUAAGAGAAUCAAGAAAUAGAUGUUAAUCUCGCUUCCCAAGAUCCCACAAGCUUCACUUUUUAAGAUCCCACAAUAUUUUAGGAUCUAACUCUCAGGAGGCAAAGAUGGAAAAAAGGGCAAAAAUGGGCCCAAAAAAGGGUAAAAAAGCUGCAAUUUAUUAUGGGCAAAACGGACUUCGACGGGGUGCCCAAGAUUUGUUCGAGUCCGAUAUACGCAAACGAACUAUGUAACCACACUAAAUUCAACACUCUGGACUCAAUGAUGAUAUCAGAUUUUUAAAAUACCAUCAUUUUUACAAAGUUGACCCACAAAACUUGAAAUCCUAAUUUUUCAAACCGAGGAUCAAAAUAAGAUUUAAAAAAAUCAUAAAAUCUCACCAAAUAUGUUACCAUCCUAAAAUCAAUGUUUUGAAUAUGCUGGAAAGGUUGAAUUUUCCAUCUGAGGUUGUUUUGACCAAAUAUGGGUCAGACACUCAUAUCUAAUUUUUCAACUUUCUGGUCAAUAGGUCAAAAUGAGCUUAGGUGCAUCGGGACUCAAAUCAAAGGUUUACCAACCUAAAAUCGAUAUUCCAUAGCUACUGGCAUAGUCUGUUCAGCCAUUCAUCACAUGGAUCAAAAGAUAUUCUCAUAAGUCCAAAAUAAGGCUCUUGAUGCCUUCAAAAAUCACAAUAUCGCAUAAAUCGUAUCAAAAAGCAUAAGGAAACCGUGCCAAUUAUCCCCAUACUGCAGAAAUACCAUAAUACAACUACAAUAAGGGAUAAAAUAGUCAAAUCAUACAAUUUGACAUAUUUCAUCAAAAAGCAGAUCGUUACACUUUCCUUCAUUUGCAUGCCAAUAAUCGUCAUACUUAGCGUCCCCGGAUGCUACAUCAUUACAUAAUGUAGGUUCCGAGGAUUUUUCUUGUAACCCUGCGCAGCGUUUGGUAAUUUGGUACUCCUGUUGGUCAGUAGUUGAAGUUGUGAGCCCUUCAUCCUUCGGAAGGCUGGACUUCCUUAUAACUUUCAUUUAUUAUUCUAGUACCCUUGGAUUUCUUUUGUCAUAGUCGAGGGAAUGUACCGGAUUGAUUGGUAUUCUUUAGAUUUGAGGCUUUUAUGGAAAGUGUUGGAAUGUUAUUGUAGAUUGGUUUUGACUCUCAAACUUACUCAUUUGAUUUUCUAUCUCUCUUAUUAUAUUGGUUAUUUUCCACUGCAUAUUAUCAUUAUUGUAUGUUUUGAGGUAUGGCAAAGAGGUCAUCUCCGGCCUUGGUUGGCUUAGUAUGCCCAUCACGAGUAGGUCCUGGUUUGGAUUAUGACAAGCUUUGUAUUAGAGAAUGGUCUAGGGUCAUUGGGUGUCCAUAAAGUCAUGCUGAGUAGAGUCUUUUUUAUUGGUGUGUAGCACACUAAACUUAUAUGGUACAUUUUCAUUACCACAUGAGUCAAUAUCCACAUAUUAUUUCCAUUCAUCCAGGAAUUUCCACAUGUUUUAUAUGCGAAAAGUAUGAAUAUAUAUCACAAUACCCCAAAGAUACCACAAUAGGCAUUUGCAACAACACAAUACAAUUAUUCAUAUGUAUUCAAGGCUAUCAACAUCAUAUAGGACUCCACACGGUCAUGCAUAUCACAUAGUUUCUCAAUUUCAAUAUUUACAUCACAUGUAGGCCUCCACAUAAGCAUAACAUAUAGAUAGCCAUUUUUCAUGAUUAGCUCCCACUCUUAACAUGCAUUUUGUUAUCAUCAUUUACUACCCAGCCCAGUGUGAAAGAGUUAAGCCAUAACCUACCUCUAAAGCCAAAACUGAUAUGCAACACUAGAACCAUAAAGCCCUACUUCUCAUGAAAGGUUUUGAAAUCAACUAAAAUAAAAAAAUAUUGGAUCUAUGCGUCGAAACAUAGCUAUCAAUAUUCAUAUUUCCUACUUUUGGUUCGGGAUCAAAAUAGACUCUCGAAAUGGGUUUUUGAAAAGAAGGGCAAAAUCAUAACUUUACUUCAAAAACGUGUUUCCCAUACUUUUAGGAAUCUACAUCUAAAUGCUCCAAUAAAAUUGAGUCAAAAACAAGGUUCAAAUCAAACAAAAAUUAUUUUUGAGAUUUAUCGGAUAAAAUCUUUAAAAUCGGUGUUAAAAUCAAGAAUCAAAGUUGUUUUAAAAAUAAAAUCGAGAAAAAAGAAGUGAUUAUUGGCUAAGGAAUAGUAUUCAAGUGAAAAGGAGUAAAAUUUAGGGAUAAAUCAAGUAAUAAGAUUUUGGAAUUUUUGAACAAUUAAAUUAAGAAUUAAAGUAAGAAAAGAAUGAAAUCUCACCUUAAAUUCAUAAAAGAAUCAAGAAAUAGACAUUAAUAUAGCUUCUCAAGCACCCACAAGCUUCAAUUUUAAGCUCUCACACUAUUUUAGGGUUUAACUCUCUAGAGACAAGGUGAAAGAAUGAGCAAAAUCUGGCAAAAGAGGGCUUUUUAUCUUGCACCAGGUUACCAGUCAAAUAAGUCAUAAAUUGGCCUCCCCAAAUGAGAUUUACACUUUGUUUUCCAUGUUUUUGGUGCAACCUGGUGCACUAGAUUUUUAAGUCCAAAACAUACUUUCACAGGAGGCUCGAAAUUCAUUUGGAGUCCGAUAUACGCAAAGAAACUAUGUAACCACACUAAAUUCGAUGCUCUAGACUCAACGACAAUAUCAAAAUUUAAAAAAAAAAUCAAUUUUUUAAAGUUUGCCCCCGAAUUUCGAAAUCACAAUUUUUCGAACCAAGGGUCGAAAUGAGAUUUAAAAGACACGAAACCACACCAGAUAUGUUACCACCCUAAAAUCGACGUUCUAGAUCUGUUGGCGCAUCCGUGUAACCAUCCAUCGCACGGAUCAAAAGAUAACCACUGAAGUCUAAAAUAAGGCUCUCGAAUCCACCAAAAAUCACAAUAUCACAUAAAUGAUACCAAAAUGCAUCAAAAAUAAUGUCAAUCACCCCCACACCCCAGAAGCAUCAUAACGAAACUACGAAGAAGGGUAAAAUAAUUAAAUCAGACAAAAUCAUAAAUUUCACAUAUUCAUCAAAUUAUAGGUCGUUAUAUUUGGUGUAUCAAGUGAUGGAGGGAGUCAAGGUUAUUCGAGCAAGACUUAAGACUGCUCAAAGUAGCCAAAAGUCUUAUACGGAUGUGAGGUAAAGGAAACUAGAGUUUGAGGUUAAUGAUUGCGUGUUUUUGAAGGUCUCUCCUAUGAAAGGAGUUAUGAGGUUUGGGAAGAAAGAAAAACUUAGCCGUUGUUACGUUCGUUCAUAUCAAAUUAUAAGAAGGAUUGGCAAUGUUGCUUAUGAACUGGACUUACCGGUGAGCUUGGCCUUGGUUCAUCCUAUUUUUCAUAUGUCUAUGCUAAGGUAAUAUGUGGAUGACCAUUCCUUGGUAGUGCCAUUGAGGAUAUUGGGGUGAAGGAUUCUCUAUCAUAUGAGGAAUUCCUUAUCAAAAUCCUUUAUAGACAAGUUCAAAAGUUGAGAACUAAAGAGAUAGCUUCGGUAAAGGUGCUUUGGAGGAAUCAAAAUGUGGAGAAAGUUACUUAAAAAUUGGAAGAGGACAUGAAAGCUAGAUACCCAUUUUUAUUCACAUCUUCGGAUGAGGUUACUUGAGGUGCGGAUCUUACUUUUAUCUAAGUCAUUUUAAAUUCUUACAUUAGACUUCCAUAUUUUUCUUUACAUCUGUAAUGACCCUUUAGGUCAUUUUUCAUAUUUAUGCUUAUCUUUACUAUUUGAACAUCUUCAUAAGUUUCCCAAGUCAUUUAUGACUUGUUGGGAUCGACGAUUUGAUUAUCGGAUAGUUCGUUUGUUUUUUUAGAGCUAAUUUCCUAUUUUGAGGUCUUCACUAAUUCUAAAUGGCCAUCGAGCGAAAAAUUCAGUGAAACAAUCUCGGAUGCAAAUUGUGACUGUGACAAUAGAUUCAAAAAAUUAAAAAUAACCUAGAUAGACUUUUGAUUCUGGUUCCAAUGCACUCGAGCUCCUUUUGACCUAUUGUUCAGAAAGUUAGAAAAUUGAAAUCUAGGUGUCAGACCCACAUUUGGUCGAAAUGACCUCAAAAAAUCCGACUUCUCCAUCGCAUCCAGAACAUUGAUUUCAGGAUAGGGGACCUUUGGUUCAGGUUCCAAGGCUUUCGAACUUAUUUUAGGCUAUUGAGUGGAUUUUAUGAAAAAUGAAACUAUAAGUAUGGUCCCCACUUUUUAUCGAAAUGAUCUAGGAUGAAAGUUUUGAUGAUUCCAAUGAAUUUAAAAUGUGGUUUAUACUCAAAUUUCACUAUUGAAUCAUAUAUUUUGAUUUUCGAAUGGGUUCCUAGGUCAAAAAUAGGUUUUUGGCUUUGCUGAUGGCCCAGACAGCGACUACGGAUCUCCAAAGCUAGAAUGAGCAUUUAAGCACCCUAUAGGCCGCAUUUUUCACCAUUUUGACUCAUUUUUGAGAGCCUAAAACCCUAAAUAAGUAUGAUAAAAUAAAAUUGAGUCUUGUGGGUGUCUAGGGUGCUUGGUAAACAUCUUUUUAUAUGAUUAUCAUCCGGAUUAAGGUAAGAUUUCAUCACUUUAUUGGUGAAUUUCUUAGUUCUAGACCUAAAAUCCCAAUUUAGCUUAGGGCUUGAUUUAGCCCAAAAUUUGGUUUGUUUGCACCUAUUAAUAGAGGGUUAUGAUUUCUUGGUGAUGUAUGAGCAUUGGGUUGACCUCGAAUACGCGAUUUCCGUAUAUAGGACCCACUUAGGGUUUUUGGUAUCGUUUUUGAAUCCGAAACACAAUAGUGUAAUAUGGGUAUCGUUAGACUCAUAUUGAUUAGUAGAUUAUUUUUGAUGGCGUGAUGACAUUUUGGAAAUUGUGAAGCAAAGAUGAGCAUGUGGUGCUUGGAGUGUGAUUUUGCGGUUUAGCCUUAUGGUAGGCUCCUGUCCGCUUUCCUUCAUAGAUGAUGUAUGAUAUGUAUUGCGUGUGGAUAUGAAUGGUAGUAUUGAUUAUGAGUAAGAUAUCUUAGCCUUUAUUAUUGAUAUUUUAGAAAAUUAGAUGAGGGUCUUGGACCUAUAAGAUAGUAUGUUUAUAACCUUGUGGACUCCUAUUGCUAUCUCCCUAGUUUAGAUUGAAUUGUACCAUGGAUUUGAUACUUGGCCAAUAGAGAUGCCAUUUCCUCUUAGAAUUGAUAUUGGACCCAUAGAGAUGUUAUUUCCUCUUAGACUUGAUACUUAGCCCAAAGAUAUGCCAUUUCCUCUGAGAAUUGAUAUUGGGCCCAUAGAUUGUGUACUUUUCAUUGAUUCCUGCAUGUGCAUCGCCUAUCACCAGUAUGCACCUAUAGUUAUCAGUCGAUAUGGGACGGUUGCUAUAUAUGGGUGAAGCAUAUGCCUUGUGUUGUUGUAUGCUGAUUGAUCCUUUCGAGUCUGGGGCGGUGGGGGUAUGCAUAAGCUCGGCUAGGUAUUUGAUUGUCUAGAGUAGCUAGUUAUUUACGAUAUUAUUGAUAUUGUUAUUAUCAUUGUUAUGAUCACUAUUAUGGCUAGCGUAUGAAAGAUUGGUCAUUGAUCCGGUAUAAGGAUUGAGGUAUGCCUUCGUCUUCUACUAUCUUAUGAUUGCAUUACUAUGCGCGAUUAUUCUAUGUCUAGCCAUAUGAAUUAGAAAUCCUAAGUAUGUUAGUAUUGAAUCUUGAUAGUAUUAUAAUAAGGUCUUAAAAUGAGAACAUGAUGAUCUAGGUUAUACUUAAGAUGACCUCCUGAUUUUAUAUACAUACAUAUAUGUAUAUAGCUAUAUGAAGCUAUGGUACUAUCGGAUAUCCUUUCCUUGGUGUUCAUAUUAUAUAGUUGUUCCUUCGCCUUAUAUAUUACUAUAUAUCGUUCUUUUGCUCUUUAUUUGUAUAUUGACCUGGGAUAUACGGUAUAACAUUUACAUAUAUUGAAUGUAGCUGGAAUAUGAUAGUUCACCUUUAUACUUACUUAGUCUUAUUAUGUUAGACUCUUGGACAUGAAUAGGAUAGUUGUCCCUUAUUAAUCUCAUUGACUUAUUAUAUGAUUUAUGGACUCUUAGGUGUAGUUUUCAUUCUGUUUACAUACUAUAUAUAUCUACUUUAUCUUUUGAGCUCAGUUGGCAGCUGCCUACUGAGUAUCAUUCAUUUGGUACUCAUACUACACCUCUGCAGCCUAUAGAUCAUAGUACAUGUUAUCGCCGUUGAUGUGUGCAUCGUGUGGAGUAGUCCUAAUUUAGAGACUUAGAGGGAGCUCCUAACGUUCUGAGCAUUACUUAUCUCUAUCCUAUGUAUUAAACUAGCCUCUAAGCUGUAUUCAGAGGUAAGUUGUAUUAGUGUAUUUCUCCUUGAUAUAUCACUUUUGUACUCUUAUUAUAUUUAGAAGCUCUUGCACUGACACCACCAGGUUUUAGGAUUCGUCUAUGUAUUCAUCUUUAUUUCAUAUAUUUUGCAUUCUUUUCCUUAUAUAAUUGAGUAGUCCGUUACUAGUUGUUCUGGACUACAGGUUGGCUUACCUACUGGUGGGUUGGCUUACCUACUGGUGGGUUAUGGUAGGCGCCAUCAUGGCCUGAAAAGUUGGGUCGUGACAAUAUCGUGUUAAAAAUAACCUCAAUUCUUAUUCGAGGACGAAUGAUUGCUUGGGGGGGGGAGGAGAUCAUGUAAGACCCCAAAAAUUUUAAUGAUUUUAUUUUGAACCUUCAUGUUCAGCAGUGAUUUUUGACUUGAAUCAUGAUAAGGGAUGGUAAUAAAAACAUUAGGGAGAGUUUUGAAAUUUUCUAAAAGUGUUCACAGUCAUUUUGGGACCCUGAACUAUUGAGGAUCUGUGAUAUCAAUGUGUCAUGCCCUGGGCAUGCCACGAUAAGAGUGUUCCAUGCUCUUGGGGUAAUGCGAUAAGGGUGUACCACGCCCAAGGGCCCAAAUGCCUUUUUUGUAUUUUUUUCAUUUUGGGACGAGGGAUUUUUGGUCUUUUACCCAUUUAAACGACUUUAAACAUUACUUAACCCUUAUUCACCUAUUAGUUACCAAAUAUUAUCACCAUUCUUCCUCCUCUCAACUCUCAAGAGAAGCAAACUAAGGUUCUUUCUAGGGAUUCAACUCUCAGAGCUCUAUAUUCAAAUUUUUCUCAAAUUCAUCUGGUUAAAAAGACAUGUUGAAAACUCCCUUAUUUUUAAUAAUCUUUAAAUUGUGAAAUUACUUGAUAGUCAUAUAUUUUAAUGGUUGUUUAAAAACUAGGGUUGUGGUUUUUUGUCGAUAUAUACUUGUAUUGAGUUUUCUGGUCAUAAUGGUUUAAAUGUUGGGUAUCAACUAAAUUGUGACUUACAAAAGGAUGAAUAUGGUAGUUUGAAUUCAUAAUUGGUAUGGUUUAUGGCAUGCUAAGAUAUGAGCCUCAACCUAUUGCUUAAAUUGGAUUUAAAAGGUGAUUUUAUAGUGCUUAACUCGUCUUUGGAAAUAUUGUCAUGUAUUAAUGGAAAAAUGGUCUAUAGUAGGUUUUUGGAGUUGAAAUUUGGAUUUUAAAUGGUUAAAUAAAAUUAUGUGGAAUUAUAUGGAUGGCUUGCGACUCUUUGUAUGACAAUACCAAUCUGGAAAUGCCUUAAUGAAAAAACGUCGUGGUUAAUGGUAUGUGAAAAUAUUUUAAUUGGGCUUAAUGAGAAUUGUGUAGAUCACCGAGAAGGUGUAUUCCUUGUAACCAAUACUAAAAAACACGUUUGCCAAUGUUGGGGGUUUAUGACCAUUGUGUACUGACUUUGAGUGGUGGUACACACUUAUUCUUUCGGAAUGUUAUUGACUAUUGGUGACUUUAGCCUAUUCCUCGGUCCAUGUGGCUAACAUAGAUUGGGCUCCUUCGGUGGAGGAACGGGACCUAUAUAGCCCCUCGGUGUUUAAAAAUUGGUGCAAGCUACACAGUUCAGGAGUAAAUUUUUGAAUGGUCAUGUCCUUGUACUCCCCACCCCUUACUUCAUAUUUAUUGUGGAAAGUGAUUCUAUUUUAUGACUGAUUUUGGUAAACUUCAUAUUUAUCUCUUUUCUUGGGUUGCAUACUAGUACUCGUCGUAUUGGUCGUCUCAAAAGCUACAUCAUUUCAUGACAUAGUUUUGGAGGCUUUUUCUAGUGACCUUGUCGAGCAUUAGGGGACCGUUACUAUAUUUGAUAGCUAGUGAGAAGUGGUGAGCCCUCCAUCAUCCAGACGAUCAUAUUACUUUUCAGCCUCCUUAUAUUAUUGGUUCUAUUGAUUUUCUUUUGGCAUAUUUAGGGUCAUGUCCCAACUUGGUAGAUGUUUUAUGGAUAGAGGCUUGUAAACAAUAUUGGGUUGUAGUUUCUGGAUUUGAACUUGAUUUUUCAAAUUUUGUUUCAUUUAUUAUCAAACUCUUUCAUAUUAUGGGCUGACUUCUUUAAUUUCUUUAUAUUAUGGUGCUUAUGGUGUAAGGCAAAGGGGUCAUCUCAUGUCUUGGUUGGCUUGGGGUGUUCGUGAUGGUCAGGGUCCCAGUUCGAAUUAUGACAUGUACAUGUCUGACCAAGUCUUGGGCUAAUGAAGGACAGUUGUAAGAUGUUUUUGAAAAAUUAAUUUAUUGGUAGCUAAUUUAAUUUUUAUAUAAUUAAUUCAGUAUUCCCUUAAAAACAGAAGUCGGCUGCUUAGUUUCAGUUGGAUAAUAAGGAUUCUCCUAUCUACUUUACGGUCCUUUAUUUUGGAUCGUGAUAGUACAAUAUAUCCCCACCUCAUUCUCCUUUCAGUUGUCCUACUCCUUCACCCUUCUCUACAUAUUUCUUUUUAACUAGUUUAGGUGUACGCGGUUCGCGCGUGUAUCUCAUUUUAAUGAGUUCAAAUACUACACUAAAUAUGAUAUUUAUUCAAUUAAUAGUAAUUAAAUUCAACAUCAUUGUAGUUGUAAAGAUGAAGAAUUUAUUCAAUUACUUAUAUAAUAUUAAUAAAUAUAGGUGAAAUAUAUUGACAGUCCUUAAAUUAAUGUUGGUGUCUUUAGUAAGUUGAUGUUUAGAGUGCUUGAUAAUCCAUAAAGUUUUGCAAUUUAACUUGGUUCCGUUGUAGAAGUGAUAAUUUUGACGUGCAAAUUUCAUAUCAUUUCAAUCCCUCUUCUUGAUCAAAUAGUUUGUGUAUCUUUUCUACUACAUCAAAUAUAGUCAUACAGUUUCCGUGCACUUCAUUCAUAAUUUCAAAAUUUAAUUCGCAACAUGGAUUCAGAGAAACAAUAAAAAUAGUGUCUCAAUAAGUUUUAAUAUUGAGACAAAUUUCUCACGGUUAUAUAGAAAAUAAUCUUACGCUAAUCAAACAAUUCAGUAAAUUCUAUAUGAAUAGAGAGACAAGUUAAAUUAGGUUAGAGUUUAUUAAGUUGAUACUUUUCUUAGAAAAAAACUAAAAAAGAAAUCAAGUCAAUUAAAUUGUACUAUUACCUUUUCUUCAUUAUAAUUUCAAAAAAGUCACAAAAGUGGAGGAGAAGAUGAAGAGAAACAUACCUUAAAGAAUACUUGAUGGAUAUAUGUGGCUAUGGAGAAGCUUUUGCUAUUACUCAUCAUUCGCUAACAUAAAAUCCAACAAACAAUAUCAUCUUCGAUCUCUAUCAUAAAAUUUGUUCUGCUAUCGAGUAGAUCCCAUUAUACACCUCAAUUGAGAAAGAUGUUUAAAAUUGGGUAUUAAGAGAAAAGAUAGACAAAACACAACAACGAAAAACAAAUUACAAGUUUUACAAAAACUAAGGAUAAUUGUUUUUUGAUAAUAAUUGAGGAAGAUGUGAAAAAAAGAUAGAUUUUAUUUUUAGAAAGAAAAUAAAAGGAACACUAUUCCUAUUAGAUUUUCUAUUCAAAGUUUUCAAAUUUUACCUUCCAUAAACAAAGAUUUUAAAUAAGCUUUUACUCAGACAUUAUAAAAGUUCUUAAUUCACGUGAAUCACGUACACCUCUUUCAUAUAUUUUAAAAGUCCUUAAAAUAUUAUAAAAAUAACUAAAUAACAUGUAAAAAAAAAAUGACAAUUUUGUAUUAUCAAAAAUAAUAAAAACAAAAAUACAAAUAAUAAUCUUUUGGAGAGAAAGUUAUAUUAUUCAUGUCAAACAAAAAAAAUUCAAUUAUACAAAAAAUAUCUUGAUUAGAAUAGUAUGUCAUUUUUUUCUUGAGUUGGUUCUUAUCAUAACUUAUUUUCUACUUUUGAUAUUUAUAUGUCUAAUUUUUAACGUGGUUUUGGAGAGAAAGUUAUAUUGUUCAUUUCAAACAACAACAAAGAAAAAAUUCAGUUAAACAAAAACAUCUACAGGAACUUGUCAUUGAUACACAAUAAAUUGUGGUUUGUAUAAAUUAAUUAAAAUAAUAAAUUUUAUGCAAAGAAAAUAUAUCUGAAAGAGUUGAUCAGUGCUAGGAAAAAAAGAUAAUAACCUACCAAAAAUUAGAAAUAGACAUAAGCUAAAAUCAAAAAAGAAGGAAAAAAGUGCAACUCUGUAUAUAAAAUUCAGAAAAAAAAAAUAGGCAAAAAGAAAUAAAAAAUCAUUUGUUGAAAAAGAAUAAAAGCAAACAAGUGAAGAUAUUUUUUCCCCAAAAGUUACGUUCUAGUUUUGUUUAUAUAUAAAAGUUAUUUACUUUAUAUUAUCGGAAUGAAUACAGAUUACAUCGGAAUGAAUACAGACUACAUGUAAAUCUAAAGUUUUAAAAAAAUAAAUAACAUGUAAAAUUAAUGUAAUCUUUGAUUUCUUCAUUCAGUGACAACAUACUUAUUUCAUUUCAUCUUCUUUUGAUUAAAGAAAAUUUAACUGGAAAAGAAACACAAGAAAUUAUCAAAAAAAAGAAAAUCUAUUAUUUUGUUGAUUUUGAACACUUUAUAUAUAAUCUUUAAAUUUAAUAAUUAGAAGAAACAAAGAAGAAAAAAAAUUCAAGAAUACUAAAGUUAAACCUAAUUUUUUUCUGCGGCAAAAUUGUAUCUAAAGCCUAAACCAAAAUAAACAGUAAUCCUACGCAUUAAAAGAAACAAAAAAGACAAAAAGAUAUUAAAGAAUACUAAAGCUAAACGUAAUUUUUUUCUACGGCAAAAUUGUAUCUAAAGUCUAACCCAAAAUAAAUAGUAAUAUUGGGUAGCAAUGCAGGAGUAAAAUAUUGGGAAUUUGGAGUUAAAUUAUGAUAGUGAAUUUUGGGUAGAAUUAGGAUUAGUUGAGGGUUUUGUCAAUGUUUAGGAGUUUUACUCCUCAUAUAUUUAUUAUAGUCAAUAUUUAAUAGUAUAAUAAAUAAUAAUUCAAAAAAACAUGAAAAAAAUGAUUUUAUUUAAAACGGAAUCUUUUAAGGAAGGACAAAAAGUUCGAAUCACUUUAUCCACACUUUUAAUAUAUUGUAGAUAUGGAUUAUAGAUAUAGAUAUAGAAAUAGAUAUAAAUAAAAAUAUAGAUAUAGAUAGAUUAUAAAUUAUAGACGCGCCUUGUGCGUGUACCUCAUUUUGAUGAGUUCAAAUAUUACACUAAAUAGGACAUUUAUUUAAAUAAUAAAGAUGAAUAUAAUAAUUAAAUUUAAUAUCUUUUGAGUAUGUAAAGAUGGAGAAUUUAUAUUUAUUAAACCUAACCUUUACCAAAAAUAUUUUUAAAAGUCGAACAGCAUUUAUCUACUAUCUGUAAAUUACAACAAAAUAAUAUAAUGGUAGAGACAUCAAAAUAAUACAAUUAAAUCUAAUUUUAGGAUUAAAAAAUUUUCUCAUAGUCGUCCAACACUCAUCUACCACCCGUAAACAAUAACAAAUAAUACGAUAAUAGAGAUAUCAAAAUAAUAUAACUAAACUUAACCUUUACAUAAAAAAAUUCUUCAAAGCCGACCAACAUUUAUCUAUCACUUGUAAACUGCAAUAGAAAAAUAUGAUUAAAGUGAUAUCAAAACAAUACAAUUAAACUUAAAUUUUAAGUACAAAAUUUUUUGAAACCCGAUCAAGAUUCAUCUACGAACUGUAAACUAACACAAAAUAACAAACUAAUAGAGAUAUUACGAUAAUACAAUUAAAUCUAACUUUUACACAUGAAAUUCUUCAAAGCCGACCAACAUUUAUCUAUCACUUGUAAACUGCAAUAGAAAAAUAUGAUUAAAGUGAUAUCAAAACAAUACAAUUAAAUCUAACUUUUACACAUGAAAUUCUUCAAAGCCAACCGUCAUUCAUCUACGACCUGUAAACUAUAAAAAAAAAUAUAAUAGUGAUCACAAAGCUUUGAUUUUGAUCCAAUUAAUUCUUGUCUGAGCAAAAAUUUUGAGACUAAAUAAUGAUUUUGAAUGAAAACAAAGAAGAUAUAUAUAUAUAUACACACACAUGUUGAUAAUAUAUAUAUACACACAUGUUGAAUUCUAUUAUGCUGACAAAAACAGUGAAAAAAUUGAGGCUUAGAAAAUGGGUAAAAUUCAGAAAUAUUAUACUUAAGAGCCUAAUUAUUGUUUUUAUAGCAACAGUUUCAUAAUUACGUUUUAUAGCAACUUAUAUUUUGUAUUUUUAAAAAAUAUUACUGUAAAAAUACAUAUACAAUAAAGUUACAGCCCUUAUUUAACUGAAAUUAGUUGACCUAUAUAUGGUAUAAUUAUCAAUCCAGUAAAUUUAUAGAUUUCUUUUCCAUUUAAAACUCACAAAAAAACGUGACUUCCAUUAUAUUUCUCUUCACAUUUGAAAUUCAAAUUUCAAUUUUUCCCCAUUAGCAAUUCCAUCCGAAAACUCGUUAAUCAGCUGCAGGUUUUCUUAGCAAUUUGUUCUAAUCCAACCCUGUUUUGGAAAUUCAACCAUUGCUGUUGCUGAAUCAAAUUGGACUGAUUCUUCUUCGAAAAUUAACAAUAAUUGCAAAAUGAUGCAGUAAUUUAUUUGAACCAAAUCAAUUUGUUUGAAUUCAACUGUCAGUUGAAAAUUCAACCAUUACUAUUGUUUAAGGUACAUAAUCAUUAUUGUUUUUCAGUUUGAUUUUCUUUUUAAACCAUUACUGAUGUGCCUAUCGAGUUUCUGUUGUCGUCGUUACUUUGUAUGUGAAAAAAUUGUAAAAGAAAUUCGAGUUAGAAGCAUUUCAACAGUAAAAUUGAACAUAUAGAAACAAAAAAUUGAGAAUUCAACUUGGUGUUGCAAAUUUCAGCUUAAAACUUGUGUGAACUGUAAAAAAGUUAGUAUUCGACUAUUGUUUUGAGGAUCGUUUGUUGUUAUUUUGAUUGUUUUAACAAUUCUACAAAUUCUGAAGCUUUGUUGUAUAAUCGUUUAUGAUCGAAUUCAACUGUUGAAUUUGAUGAUAUUCUAUGAACACAUAUGAAAGUAUAAAUUAUCUGCUCCAGAUGUAUUUUUAAUCUAUGUAAUGGUCACAUUGCAUAUGUAUUUUUUGAUAUGGUUAAUGUUAAUACUGCAUAUGUAUUUUUGUGUUGUUGUCGGAAUUUUAGACUAUAACUAUAUAUUUGAAAAUACAUUUUGUACUUGUUUUACUUCCGUUUGAUUCAAUAAUUUCUGUAUUUGGUUAAAUACUUUUUCUGUGUUUGUAAUUUAGUUUAUACAAAUAUUGUUUAAAUGUAUUUUUUUACAGGUUGAUGUUGGUUGAGUAACUUUGUUUGCACUUAAAGUUGUAAAUUGUGUGUUAAAACAAGUGAUAUCUGACAAAUAUGUAUAUUUAUUUAUUUUUUGGUUAAAUCAAUUGGAGAUGGAAGCAUACCAGUCCUUGUGAAGCACUCUGGUCGAUGGACGUAUGAAAAAAACUACGAAGAAUAUGUNNNNNNNNNNNNNNNNNNNNNNNNNNNNNNNNNNNNNNNNNNNNNNNNNNNNNNNNNNNNNNNNNNNNNNNNNNNNNNNNNNNNNNNNNNNNNNNNNNNNNNNNNNNNNNNNNNNNNNNNNNNNNNNNNNNNNNNNNNNNNNNNNNNNNNNNNNNNNNNNNNNNNNNNNNNNNNNNNNNNNNNNNNNNNUAAGCAUUUUGGAGAAAGUUGUAAUGAGCAAUUUCGCGAGUUCAUCUAUAUGUGAUGCUGAAAGAAGAAGUAACUGUAACAACUUGCAAACAGUGAUAAAUACAACAAAUGAAGGAUCUUUGGUGGUUUCUGAAGAUGCACAAGCAUUAGAUGUAUUUGAGAUGGAUACUGUUGAGGUGAUUAUCUCAGACCCACAUCACAAGCAUGUUGAGGAUGACUAGGUUUACUUGACAAAAAAAUUUUAAAGUCGAUCAUGAAGGACUAUUCAAUUAGGGAGAAGUUUCAAACGCGAAGUAAAAGCUCAAGUAAGAAAACAUACGUACAUUAUAUAUUACUCUAAUCUUGUUUAAUAUUAGUUUGGAUAUGUAUUUUGAAUGAAUUAAAUUAUGUUGGAUGCAGUUACACAUUGUUUUGCAAAUCAAGAAGCUGUGAGUUUUUAAUGCGUGCUUCAAGCAUUGGAGAAAGUGGAAUGUUUAGAAUAAGAAGAUUCAUACCUCAACAUACUUGCCCAGUGAAGGACAAGAUCUAUCCAAAGGUGCAUGCUACUAGUAUGUUGAUAGGUGAUAUGGUUAAACAGAAAUUCAAAAAUCACAAACGAAAAUACAGUGCAAUGGAAAUUAGAAAUGACAUGAAGUAAGAUUUUGGUAUGGAUUUGACAUACACUUUAUGUUGGAGGGCCAAGAAAAGAGCGUUAGAAGAGUUGAGGGUAAGCCAUCAGCAUCUUAUGGGAAACUGCCAUCAUACUUAUAUGUGCUGAAUACUACCUAUCCAGAGUCACAUAUAAGAAUGAAGAAGACAAAUGAUAAUGUGUUCUUAUAUGUAUUUAUCGCUCUUCAUGCAUUCAUUAAAGGAUUAGAUCAUUGUAGACCAGUCGUAGUGGUUGAUGCUAGUCAUCUGAGAGGAAUUUAUACUGAGGCAUUGGUAACAGCAUGUACAACGGACGGAGCAGGUUAGUAUCAAUUAAUAGUAACUACAUUAUAUAAAUGGUUGUAUUUUUUUUUGUAUUUCUGCAAAUAACUUGAAAAUACAUAUCUCCACUGCAUGUAUACAUAUCUGCAUAUAAUUACAUAUAUUUUCAAAGUUUACCGAAUGAAACAUGUAAAAAUGUUUAUGUUUGAUAGUGAGGCGCAUGUAGAUUUUAUUAUAUGUAAUUGAUACCAUUUCAGGUACAUAAAAUAUGUAGUUUUUUUCACCUAUUUUUUUAAUAAAUACAUAUGCAGUUUCUAUAUGUAUUUAUAUUGGCAUGCGCAAAAUUUUUUUAUAUAUGCAAACCAUAUAUUUUCUUUAGCAUAUGGUGUACUUGAUUCUGAAAAUAAUGAAUUACGUAUACAGUCAUAUAUUUCCUUUGGCAUAUGGUGUGCUUGAUUCUGAAAAUGAUGCAUCCUGGACGUGGUUUUUCAAGAAUCUAAAGGAAGCGUACGGGGAAAGACAACACAUGUGUGUUGUGUCUGAUACGAAUCCAAGCAUCAUAAAGGCUGUUGGUGAUAUGUACAAAGAUGUUCCACAUUAUGCAUGUAUGUGGCAUCUAUGGGGAAAUGUGAAAAAACUUUACAGAAAGUCACACGAUACAUUAUCGGAGAUCUUUUAUACAAUAGCCAAAUCAUAUUCAAAGUCAGAAUUCCACAUGUUAAUGGAAAAAGUUGAGGCAGUUGAUAUUAGAGUGAAGAAGUAUUUGGAAUUAGUGGGUUACAAAAAGUGGGUUAGGUCGUAUGCAACAGUUCACCAAGGAUGGACUUUGACUUCAAACAUUGCGGAGUCAAUAAAUGGAGUGCUUGUAUCAGCUAGAGAACUGCCAAUUUAUGACUUUCUUGAGGAAGUUCGAUUACUAUUUGCAAAAUGGAAUUACACAAAUAGGCAGGAGGCUUCAUAUACCUUCACAACACUCAUUGGAAAGUUUAAUGACAUACUCAGUGAGAACAAGGCUUUGUGUACUCGUAUGACGGUAUGGCCUUUUAGAUUUGUACAAAAUUAUAAUUAUGAAAACAUAAAUAUGAAAAUACUUUCCACUUAGUUGUAAAUUAAUUAAAAUAUAUAUAACAUAAAUAAUAUGAUCAUUUAAAAACAUAAUAUGUAUUUUUUGUAUUGAAAAUUAUUAACACUGCAUAAGUAUUUGGAUGAUCUAUAAAAAUUUAAUCUGCAUAUGUAUUUUUUUUUUGAAAAAUGCUGGUGUGAUUACAACAUAUCAUGGAAUAUGGAAUUCAUCUUUUUGUAUCAUUGUAUUUAACUUUUUAUGUUUAUAUCAGGUUAUACCAUCCACAGAAUAUAUGUAUACGGUACACGACAAACAAAAACACUUCAUUGUUUGCAUCAAGGAAUAAAAAUGCUCAUGUAAUGCAUUUCAAAUAGAUGAGAUACCAUGUGCACAUACUUGUGCGGUGUUGGAGAAAAAGAAUUUUGACAGGGGGUCAUACUGUUCUGAUUUGUUUAAACCAAACACUGUUUUGAAGACAUAUGAUAUUCCAAACUACCCUUUUCCACACAAAGAAGACUGAAUAAUACCAUAGAGUAUACUUGGUGAAAUAGUGUUGCCUCCAAAAUUCAAAAGACCUCCAGGAAGACCUGGAAAGAAGGAUCAUGGAAAAUCAGGUCGGGAUAUGUUUGGAAAGAAGAAUAUCAACUCAUGCGGUGGUUGUGGGGCUAAGGGUCACAAUACGCGUUCUGGUAGGAAAUAUCGAAAAUGAUACAUUUCUUCUUCUGUAUUAUUUCUUAAAACUUUAUUUUUCAUUUGUUAUAAUCAUGAACUAUUUCAGUUUAGUUAAUACAUUUAUGAAUCAUUUGACAAUUGAAGACAGUAAUGUCUGAUUAUUGGAGCUAUAUAUGUUUCAAAAUCUGAAAAUUUUCAAGCAGCAGUUCAUAUGUAUUUUUUACAUAAUAUAUAUAUGUUAGGUUAAAAUGUGGUAACUUUUAUUGAGUCAAACAAGUAUAUGUUUCCUAAUUAUUCAAAAGUUUAAAUAUAUGUGACAUAUUCUGCAAAUAUAUGUUUGAAAUGCAUAAUGUUAGUACUGCAUAUGUAUUUAUAUGCUAAAAGUACAUUUGAUGUAUAAUAAAUAUGUAUUUUUUAGCAAAAUAUCAUCAAUGCAUAUGUAUUUUGUAACUAAAAUCAAAUGUAUAACUGCAUAACAUAGUCAAAAUUAUCUUUUAUUCGAGUUCUCUUGUAUAAUGAUUUUAAAUGAACACAUAGUAGGUAUGUUCNNNNNNNNNNNNNNNNNNNNNNNNNNNNNNNNNNNNNNNNNNNNNNNNNNNNNNNNNNNNNNNNNNNNNNNNNNNNNNNNNNNNNNNNNNNNNNNNNNNNNNNNNNNNNNNNNNNNNNNNNNNNNNNNNNNNNNNNNNNNNNNNNNNNNNNNNNNNNNNNNNNNNNNNNNNNNNNNNNNNNNNNNNNNNNNNNNNNNNNNNNNNNNNNNNNNNNNNNNNNNNNNNNNNNNNNNNNNNNNNNNNNNNNNNNNNNNNNNNNNNNNNNNNNNNNNNNNNNNNNNNNNNNNNNNNNNNNNNNNUAAAUAUAAUUUAUUUAUACUAAAUAUGUAUUUUUAUGCUAAGUAAAUAUGUAUUUUCAAGCAGCAGUUCAUAUGUAUUUUUUACAUAUUAUAUAUAUUUUAGGUUAAAAUGUGGUAACUUUUAUUGAGCCAAACAAGUAUAUGUUUCCUAAUUGUUCAGAGGUUUAAAUAUAUGUGACAUAUUCUACAAAUAUAUAUUUGAAGUGCAUAAUGUUAGUACUGCAUAUGUAUUUAUAUGCUGAAAAUACAUUUGAUGUAUAAUAUAUAUGUAUUUUUUAGCAAAAUAUCAUCAAUGCAUAUGUAUUUUGUAACUAAAAUCAAAUCUAUAACUGCAUAACACAGUCAAAAUUAUCUUUUAUUCGAGUUCUCUUGUAUAAUGAUUUUAAAUGAAUACAUAGUAGGUAUAUUUCAAUUGUAUUUUUGUAAUGUUUGAUUUUAACACUGCAUAUAUAUUUUUAGUCUAAAAACAUUUUGUUUAUACUGCAUAUGUAUUUUUAAAGCAUAAUAUGAACACUACAUAUGUAUUUUUUUAACUAAAUGUCACAGUAAAAGGUAUAGCUCCAUAAAACUACAUGUUAUAUUUAACAAUGUAGGAAGAUGGUGAAAAACUUUAAAGAACAACAACAACAUACUAAAAUACAUAUUAGGAAUGGUCCAUAUGUAUUUUUGCAAUGCAUGAUUUUAACACUGCCUAUGUAUUUUUAGACUAAAUACAAUUGAUUUAUACUAAAAAUAUAUUUUUAUGCAUAGUAUGAAAAUUAUAUAUGUAUUUUUACCUAAAUCUCACAGUAUAAGGUAGAACUCCAUAAAAUAAACAAAAUAAACUUUAAUUCAAAUCAAAAUUAUUUCCACAUCAAAAUUGAAUUAAUUUCAUUCAGUCUGAAAAUAAGUACUAUUAUAACCUACAAAUAGAACCAAUUCAAAACAUAAAAAUUAGUCUGUAGAAUCAAAACCUACAUCCAUAAACCAGUUUCAAAUCUACAACCAGUUUCACAAGUAAAAAAUUCAUCAACCAUCAUACAUUAAAAACUUCAGUGACACUAGUUAUUCUAUUUUGUCUUGCAGGCCUCAAGGGUGUUUCGACAUCACUAAUUGCAUUUGCUUCUUUUUUUUGAAUCCCAUAGUCCCACAAAAGUGCGGCAUAUCUUGUACGGAGUGCGUUGGGGUCAAACUCAGUCGGAAUAACUUUGUGACCGUAAGAAAGGCACACUGCAUACAUAACCAUAAAGACACCACAAUCUCUACAAAUAAAAAAAAUGAAUGAAAUAGUGAAAUAUAUUUUGUACAAACAUAUAAUUUUGGUAUAUGUAAAUUCAAAACUUACAAGCUUCCACUUGAUUGUUGAGGCAAAUCAUCCUCAAAUAAAAUAUCAAACAUAUCUGAGGAGUCUUUGUCUUUGUAUCUUGGAUGGUUUUGAAGAUCAAUUCCUUUCUUAACAUAUAAAUCACAACCUUGGAGACACAAUGAAAUAAUCUUUACUAUUUUCUCGAUCUGAACAAAAACAGCAGCAUAAUGACCACUGGAUUCAUAUGAAUCAUACAGAAAUAUACACCUCUCUGAAAAUGAUAAAACUGUGAGAACCCAGUGAUGCUUUUUCUUUAUAUUGACCAAAAUAAAAAUAUCUUUCACUGUAUGUCAUGGCACUGCAGCAUACAUAUGGAAUUCAUUGAUGUAUUCAUUAAGAUGGUGUUGUUGUCCUCCAUCAUUAAUGUUUUGAUGAUCUAUAGAAUAAACAUCCAUCAAAGAUCUAAUUAUAUUCAUAAAGUUGCAGUCAACUGUACUUUAUUUGUACGAUUUAUUUGGCUCGUUGAUGUACGAACUGUGCGGCUCGUACUUUGACUUCUUCCUCAAGUAGUAAAAGCAGACAUCAAUAUGCUGCAUUAGUAAAUACCACAAAAUUUAGAACAUUCAAACAAAUUAUAUACUAAAUAUUAAAGUGUAUGUAAGUAAAUAAUACAUAUGUUUUUUUAAUAUUAAUGUUGAAGAUCAGUUACUUCAAGACUAUGUUAUCUAAUAGUAUAUGCAACAGUAUGUGAUGUACUAUAUUAUAUCAUAUUUAUAUUUCUGAAGUAUAUAUGUAUUUUAAACACAUAUAUAUAAACCGUAUGUAUUUCAAUAUAACCUAAUAUGUAUUUUUAAGUAGUGUUUCAGCCGCAAUGAAAUAAAUUUUAAAAUAAUAUACUAACCGACUCUGUCCAUGUCUGAUCUGCAAACCUCAUAGUAUAGAAUCAAUUUUUGUCUUUAACAGUCUCAACACCAAAAUGCAUCAUUGGAAUGUCUGACUUUUCCCUCUUGUAAUGUUCUACUUUUUCUUUCCUAGGUAUUGUAAUGAGAUGGUAAAUCAGGAAAACAUAAUUGAUACAAAAAAAUAAUCUGAAUCAAGUCAAAAGAACAACCUCUUGGCAGUAGCUUUUAAUAGGUCGACAGAAAUUCAUUCCAUGAAGUUCUUGACAAUCUUCGUAUCUAUUAUUCCAUCAAUCGGGUGAUAUAAAAAUGGAUGUUUCUGGGGGAAUAUGCGUAUUAGCCCUACUGAGUUCCCUAAAUAAUUACAGCUUACAAAAAUUUAAUUAAUACAAACGUAUUUUCAAGACAUAUUACAUUAAAAAUUAUAUAUAUCCUAUUGUACUUACUAGCUGUUAAACCAAAUUUUUCGGUGUAUGGAGAUUACUUAAAUUUUGAUGGUUGCCUAAUCCUUAACUUCGGUCUAGGAGUUUUAAAUGCACGAUUAUCGAAUGGAUGAAUCAUGAUACUUUUUUGAUCAUACACAUUCAAGCUAGGUAGAAACUCAUUCGGAAUUGUGUUUUGUGAAUCAGGCCACAAUUGUUCAACCCUCUGUUCAUCAUUGUUUACUUCUUGUGUAUUAGGAGGUAUCCUAACUUGCUACUUUGUAUCAAGUUCGACCUCUGAAUGCACCAGUGACUUUGAACUCAAAUCAGUGAUCCCUCUGUUCAUCUAACAAAAAAAUUUAAAAAAGAAUAUUACUUUUUUUCUAUCAAAACAAACCUAAACAAACUCAAAAUAUACUAUAGACAGAUACAUACUUGAGCCUGAUCUUCAAUGACGAUGUCAGAAGUUUUUGCAUCCAAAAUUUCAUGAUGAGAUUCUUCUUGACGGUUUGCCGAUGGAUGUAUGAUGAUGCUUUGUCUUCGAUAGGUAUAUAGGCUCGGUAACAUCUCAUCAUGGAUUGUGAAUUGAGAAUCAGACAAAAUUAUUUCAUCAAUUUUCUCAUCGCUGGUCUGAAAAUAAAAAAACAAAGAAAAAAUUUAAUUGUCCUUUGAAUUAUUACAUCACAUGAAGACAAAGUUAACAUCACUAUACAUACUCGACAAUCAUGUUGAACAACCUUGUCAGAAUGUAAGUAAUUCAAAUUUAUGCUUCGGAGAAGCUCAUCAGGGAUUAAUAGUUGAGAAUCAAUUUCAACAUUUAUUUUUUUAGAAUGAAAAUCAGUGCACCCCUUGAAAACAAGUAAAAAUAUCAAAAACUACAUCAAACAAACAUGUUCUUGUAUCUGUUUAUAUAUGUGAAUUCAUAACAUUAAAUUGAAAAAUACAUAUCAAAGAACAUAACAAAAAAACCACUAUCAGUGUUAAAAUACAUCUUCAGUGUUAAAAAUACAUAUGAAUAAAACUCAAAAUACAUAUGCAGUGUAUAGAACAUACUAAAAAUACAUAUUGAUAUAUAACAUUAAAUUGAAAAAUACAUAUCAAAGAACAUAACAAAAAAACCACUAUCAGUGUUAAAAUACAUCUUCAGUGUUAAAAAUACAUAUGAAUAAAACUCAAAAUACAUAUGCAGUGUAUAGAACAUUGUAAAAAUACAUAUUGAUAUAUAACAUCAAACUCAAAAAUAUAUAUUCAUAAACAAAACUAAAAACACACUUUGUUACAGGUUAUAAUGUUUAUAAUCAACCAAAUAAUAUAUAUUGUUAUGUGAGCAUCCUCAAAUGUAUUUUGAAUAUAAACUAUAGAAGUACUAGUGAAUAUGUAUUUGGAACUUUAAUAUUUACCUUUGUAUCGUCAGAAAUAUUAUGCAAAGAUUGAAUAACAUCAGGACUGAAAUAUUGUCCAGAAGGUUGUAACCCUCCCUCAUCAACAUUUGGUUUAUCAGCUUCCAUAUCUACAACCCGCUUCUUAAAAAAUUUUGUACAAUAACAUAACAAGUUAUUUUACAAAUAUGUUGUAUUUGUAUAAGAAAGUCCAAUAAGUAUACAUAUUCAAACCAACUAAGUUUUUCAAAGAAAAAAUUUACCUUGCUUUGAGCAAAUGCUUUCUUCAUCUUUUUGAAUUUUUUUCUCAUUAGACCACGAAUUCCUUUAAACUCGCGACGAAUCUGUUUUGAUACAAAAUUAAUAAACAAAUUUUUUUCAUGACUCUGAGGCUUUGACACGACUACUUCCUCUACAUAACUAUCUGUCUUUGAUUGUACCUGAGGAAAAAUAACCCUAGAUAUUUUCUUUCCUUUCUUCAUUUUUGAAGAAGAUACCUGUCGUGUUGGAAUUAGCUUAAAAACUGGUGUCUUCGUUCCAGCAGGCUUUGCAACACGAAGAGCUGGUGUCCUCGUUUGGGUAUGCUGAUAAAAAAUAUUUACUUAUUUUUUCCUUACAGAUUUCUUCGUUGCUGGUGUUGAUGAAUCAACCUUCUAUUUCUUCUUUGAAUGUUCGUUGAUCUUUCUUGGUGGUGGAUCCUGGAAGUCGUCAUUAGAAUCAACAAAACUUCAUGUUGGAUUGCAUCCUUCUUUGGUAUUUGCAAUUUUGCCAGUUCCUUUUUCGUUGGCUCUAUGUUCUUAAAGACAACCUAGAAUAAUAGGUAAAUAAUAUAUGUUAAAGAAUUAGUUAAACAGUUGUAAAUGAAAAUGUAUAUAUGUAUGCUGUAAAAUACAUAUUAAUACAUAUGUAUUUAGUAACAACAAACCUUGACAUUGUCCUUAAACACAACAUUCAUCAAAAACUCAAAGCGUGAACGAGGUGCAAUCGUCUUCCAAUUUAAUAAUCGGGAAAUUCGAUUAUCAACCUUUGAUGCAAUCUUUGGUGGUACAGAUGAACAACAUUCAUAAAGCCAUACUUGGAUUGCCAGUGACAUUCCUUGAAUCAAAUAAAAUUGACCACCAGCUUUCAACCGGUUGGUCAAACUUCUGGCCAGAUCUUCAAAAGAUAAAGAACCCCAUGGAAAAUCCUUAUAUCUUCCACUAUCGACCAAAUCGAAAUGAAGACGGGGUAUAACCACAGUUUCUACAUUAGAUAAAAUAAAUGAAUACAGGAAAUAUAGGACUGUAAAUUUCUCAGCAUUCUCGUCGUUGUUCUCCCCCUAUACUUUCUCAGUGAAUGCUAGAAAUAGUUGUCUUUUCUGUAUAAAUUCUACCCCAUUGAAAUACUUGUAAACCAGCCUAUUUAGUACACCCUCAUCAAAAGUGAAGUCAUACCUAUUUGACAUACAAUUCAAUCCAGUUAUGAUAGCAAAUUUCCUGGGAGUAAAAUUAAGAAAGAUGUCAUUAGCACAAAUCAGAAUCCUAGAAGAAGAACUACCCUUCACCUCAAGCGUCAUAUGCAUCUGCACAACUGUACUUGCACUACACAUUGUUGUUUUUCAUAAAAUAACCAAAACUGUUAUUGUUUCAAAAGUUUUUAAACUAUUCCUUGUUUAAAAUUGCACGUAUGCUUCCAUAAAUAUCUUUGUCACUGUACGAGCACAUGUGUGGUGCAAAUCUUGAAUGUUUUCUGAUAAUGAAUAUUUCAUCCCGCAUCACCUACACAAAGUAAAAUAACCACUUCUUAAUCUGUAACAAAAAAUUCAAGAAGACAAAAAAACAUAUAACAUGCAUAUGUAUUUCAUAUGAUUAAAAUGCAUAUGUAUUGUGAUCAUAUCAAAACUGCAACUAACAGUUAAAAAAAUACAUAUCACAUAUAGUAAAAAUACAUAUAACCAAUACAGUGUUAGGGUAUUUAAAUUAAUAUUACAUUCAUAUGUAUUUUAACCAUAUAAAACCACAACCAACAUUGAAAAAUACAAAUUAUGUAUGUAUUUCAUAAGAUUAAAAUACAUAUGUAUUGUGAUCAUAUCAAAACUGCAACCAACAGUUAAAAAUACAUAUCACAUAUACUAAAAAUACAUACAGCCAAUAGAGUUUUAGGGUAUUUAAACUAAUAUUAACAUGCAUAUGUAUUUUGACCAUAUAAAACCACAACCAACAUUGAAAAAUACAAAUCAAGUAUGCUAAAAAUACAUAUAGCCAAUAAAGUUUUCAUGAGUAGCUAAACUAUGAUACUAAAGCAGUCAAAAAAUAUAUAUAACAAGCAUAUAUAUUUAUAUCAUAUCAAAACUGCAACCAAUACUUAAAAAUACAUAUCAACUAUACUAAAAAUACAUAUAGCCAAAUAAUAUUUAUGAGUAGUUAAUUCAACACCAUUCAACAAUAUAUUUUCACAAUUACGUUAUCAUCUUCACAAAUCAGCUUAUAAUCCCUAAAUUUCAUCAUAAUAGAAAAUACAUAGUAACUAGCUGAACACAAUACUUAACAGUAAAAAAAAAAUACAUUUACAAACAAAAAAAAUACCUCUUCCUCACUUUCUUCUUCAGAUUCAUCAACAUAAGAUUUGUCAGCAUUGUCUUCAAUUUCUAUAGAUUUUCUUUUCUUGUCGUAACUUUUUUUAGUUUUUUUCUCCCUUGGAGAAGGAGUUUUCUUCAACCCUCUUUUUUUUUUUCAAAAUUUUGGUCAUCUUCACUGCGUCAUUGCAAAACUUCGACCUAAUCUCCUUCGAACUCCCAAAUUUGUUCAACUGUAAAGGAUUUGAAACAACUCUAACUAAAUGUUCUUGAGUUAACCCAAGAUUAAAGGAUGGUGCAUCAGACAGUAAAAUCAUAUUACUUGUAACACUGAUUGUAGGUGUUUUUGCUAUGUUUUCAUCCAUUAAAACACAAAACCCUUAAACUCUGAUUUUCAGAUAAACUAAAGUAGAACAAAAAAAAAAUUUAACCGCUAACAUGCAAUUAAUAGUUACCUGAAAUAGGCGAACCAAAUUCUUUCACAGAUCGUGGAGGAAUCGUGCAAAGGGCGGGAUUAAUGGUUAAUGGCAAAAAAAAAAAGGAAGGAAAAAUUUAAAAAUAAGGAAAGAUAAUGAGGAAUGAGUGAAAAGGGAAAUUUUAUCACAGUAAAAAUAAUUAGACGGCAAAAAAGUAGGGGACCACUUAAAAUAAUGUUAUAAAUGCUACAUAAUGUAAUUAUGAAAAAGUAUUGUUAGUUUUUGUAAUUUAGUACUUAGGUAUGAUAUGUCUUGUAUUUUUUCCUUAGAAAAUCAAGCAUCCACCAAUCUAGAUAUGCAAUCGAAUCAAGUAAGAUGAACAUCAAUCAUAUUCUCCCAAUAGGCAAACCGAUUUGUUCUCUAGUUUAACUUACAUUCCAAUAUUUCCUUAAUAGAGUUCUAUUUUAGUAGUAUUUUUCUAAUUGAACAAUAGAAAGGAAAAUAUUGAUUAAUUUUUCUACCAUAUAUUUUAGAAGUUUCAUACAUUUUAGGAUCCCAUAUAUUUUAGAAGUCCCAUAUAUUUUAUGAACUCUAGUUAAUAUAAUAAAAAAUACUUAAAUAAUAAAUUAAAAAAAUAGUGAAAAAACAGUUUUGUCUAAAGAAAGUCUUUUAAUGAAGGAAAAAAAGUUCAAAUCAAUUUUAUGAGUAUCUUCACACUUUUAAUGUAUUAUAGAUUAUAGAUUACUAGUAAUAUAUCAAUUUGAUUUACUUUUAAGGCUUAAUUUUAUAGGUUAUUCUAAUAAGUUGAUAAAUAUAGAUUUGUUUACUAAUCUCUUAUUGAAUUUCUAUUAGCAUUAUAACAAAUUAAACAUGCAUUUUACAUUAAAGUUUCUCUUGAAUACGCUCAUUCUAUUUACGCUAAUUAUUUUUUUUACUAUGAAUUUAUAGAGUUUGGUUCUUGGAUGUUAGAAGAUUAUGGACUCAACUUUGAUACAAAGAGUGAAACCACUUUAUCCUUGAAUGCAAUAGCAUCAACAUCGUCAAUCCCCAAAUCAAAUACUUAAAGCUUUUCUAAUUUUGAUGAUAUGGAACUUUCAAAAUGUUAUAGAUCCAAGUUAAAGUUCUUAUUUAUUGUACAUAGAUUUGAUUUUAUUUUCACAAGUAUCUAAAUUUGUGCCUUUUCUUAUUGUUUGGGACUUAGGUCUCUCAUUAGUCAAUUUGUGUUUUACAAACUUCAUUGUCUUUUGUAGUUGUCGAAUAGUUGUAGAGUUGAAUGCCAUGAAAUUAUUCAAAUGUCAUUGUAUAAAUUAACUAGUGAAUAUAUCCGCGCUUCACACCGUUAUAAGUGACAUCUAUUUUUAUAAAUUUAAUAGAGAUGAAAGAGACAUAUAUUUUUUUUUCAUGUAUGCACACAAAGUUUUAUUAUAAAUUGAAUCAAAAAAUAAAUUAUUAAAAAUAAAAUCACUGAUAGUUGGUUAUUAUGAUGUAGUUGUUUAUUUAUUUAUGUCACAAAUAAACAAUCUUGAGUCUCAACAAUCUAAGAAUAAUUGUACUUCACUCAAAAAUCAACUAAUUGUUAUAAUGUACGUAGUUAUUUAUUCACGUGACAAAACAAUAACCAAUUCACUAAUUUAUAUGCAUCACCCCCAAAUCAAUUACAUAAUCAGCUUAAUAUUCACUUGUCAUGUAAAAGUAUUUAGCGAAGUACGAUAAUAGUAGAACUGUAAACCUGGCAAAAAAAUUAAUAUCAUUUAUUCUUGAAUAAGUUUUAAGAAACGAAUUGAGAUAUAUAUCGAUUAGAAUCUUAAUAACAUUUUAACACACUGUAAUUUUUUAUUAUUUAAUUACAACUAAUAAAUCAAUAUAUUCUCAGCACAAAUGUAAAUUUGAGAAAAUAAUACAGUGGAGUUUGUAUGAGGUCCACACACAUGACUUAGCCCUUUAAGUUUGUUUAUUAGCAGUUAAAUAUUAUGAUAAUAAUAUGCAAGAACUAUUUUAAAAUGAAAACAAAGCAAAUAAAUAUAAAGAGUAUGAACCUUUUGAGGUUCAGUGAGGAAUGUAUGCUCUUCUUGUGGUGUUGGUCUAUAUACUAUCCUAAUUAGCUUCGUAUUCGAGAAAUAAUAUGGCAAAUGAAUGUUUUAAGUUAGAGACUUUUAGCGAAAAUUAAAAGAAAAAAUUUAGAGCACAAGAAUAUACUGUAUUUAUAUUGUACUUAUCAUAUUCGAAUGUCAUAUAAUUGAGAGAAAAAUAUUAAUAGUAGAUUACAAAAAGUAAAACAUUUACCAGUAAAAAGACUCCUAAAUGACCGCUCAGUGAUAAAGGAGGUAGGGGUGCGGAGACAGGCAGGAGGUUUGCCUAGAAGCAACCACCCUUGAAAGAGUGCAUAAUAGCUCACUGAUCAAGCGCUCUUGCACCGAAGAUGAAUGGGGUUAAGCGAUCUGCCGAAACUGUGGGGUAUAAAAAUAGAUCGGUAGGGGAGCGUUCCGCCUCAAAGGAAAGCCUCCGCACGAGCGAUGAUGGACGAAGCGGAAGCGAGAAUAUCGGCUUGAGUAACGCAAACAUUGAUGAGAAUCCAAUGCCCCGAACUCAGGCCCAAAAGUACUAUGACCAAUGAAUGUUGACCAUAUGAAUACAUACAUAUAUAUAUAUAUAUAUAUAUAUAUAUAUAUAUAUUUAGAUUUUCUUUUUUCUCUUUAUUUGAUGACUUUGAGCCACUUUUAAUUAAAAAAAUAUAUAUAUGUAUAAUAAUAUCUAGCUUUUUUUUUUUUUUUAUCCUUCUAAUCUCAUCAUCGGAACAUGAGUUUUUCUUUUACUCUCUGAAUCAUGUGUUUUCGAUCUAUCCACAAUGAUAACCAUCGUAUGUCUUUAAAAAAUGCUUCAAAGUCAUAUUUUUUCGAUCUCACAUUUUACUUCUCUAGACCUGUUUUGCCUAACCUUACAUUUUCACCAUCAAUAUAUAUUGCUACAUACUUUUGCUAUAUAAUUUACUAAAUACAAAAUAUUAAUCAUUUUCUAGAAAAAUUAUUAAUUAAUGCCUAUCAUUAUAAUUACUUUCUUUUUCUUUUUCAAAUUUCACCAUGUUCAAUUAUGAAUUAACAACGUGAUUAAUGUUUAGAAAAAAUAAGUUGAUAAAAGAAAUAUUUCAUGUAUAUAAUUGAAAAAAAUUAACAGAAGAAUAGUUGAUUAGUCAAUUUAAUUUAAAGUAAGUUAUGAUCACUAUUGAAUAUUGUAAAUAAAGAUUAUUCUGAAUUUAUAGUAGGAGAAUAUUCGAGAAUUAGGCUCUUAAAAUUAAAAAUCAUCAAAAAUAAUACUUAGUUUCUCAACUCUAUAUAUUUGAUCAAUAACUUGAUCGGCAAAAAUAAAAAAUAAUGUGAACCUCUUUUCCUAGUACGUGGGACACUGACUUGGACUUUUAAAAUAAGAUUAUUCCUUGGCAAAAAUAAAAAAUAAUGUGAUUCUCUUUGCCUAGUACGUGAGAUACUGACUUGGACUUCUAAAAUAAGAUUAUUCCUUAUCGUCCUUAAUUCAAGUAAUCCAUAAUUUAUUUAUUUUUAGAAAAACACGUAGUUUAAAAAUAAGAAGACAACUAUAUUAACUCGAGCAAAAAACUUUUGUCAAUAUACGAAGGAGUAUAUUCACUCUAAAUUGCUAGAAUCCACAAUUUGAUGAAUAGAGGCUCUAUUUGCUUCUCAUUUUUUCACUAUAGCUCGUAGUUAUGUCCCAUGUAUUUGGUAUAUUAAUAACUCCUACAAUAAAAAGAAAGUGAAUAUUAACAGUUCCUUAUAGAAUUAAAAUAAAACCUUUCAAUCAAAUAUGCUGAUUGAACAAUAUGAAUCAAAUUUAUUUAUUUAACUAUAUAAUUGAAUAAAAAUUGAAUUCAUACUUAUAAAAUGAUAGAAAGACGAACUUAGAUUUGUAGCAUAUUUUACGAAUCUACAAAGACAAAUUUUAUUAAUCAUUAAAAUAUACUCCUUCCGUCCCAUUUUAUCCGUCCCAAAUUUUCUAAUCUAGUGUCUCAUUUUGCUUGUCCUUUUUUACUUAUCAAUACAAGACAUUUUUUUUUUUCAUAUUUUACCCUUUACAUUAAUUACUUUUUCUUUAAAUUAAAAUGUAAACAUCAUUUAAUAGGGGUACUAUGGUAAACUAUCCAUGUUAUUUAUUAUUUUUCUUAAUAGCUGUGACAUCCCAAUUUAAAAUGAGUAAAAUGGAACGGAGAGAGUAAAAUAUAAAAUAAAUUUAAAGGCCUCAAAAUUCAAGAGAAAUACAUGAGAUUAGGGAGAACUUAUAAGAUAAAAGAGGAGGAGAAAUGCAUUGUGUAAUUUUCAAAGAUGGGUAUUUAAACUUAUGACUCAGACUUUUCAAUUGUUAAACGGCUGUGUAUCUUUGUUGUUAUUUAAUUCAAUUUUUCAUUUGGGUUAAUUAAAUCUAAUGCAUGAGAUAAAAAGAGUAAGAAAUAAAUAUUUUUUUCCUUCCAUUUUACUUGAUAUUUUCUUAAAUAUGUUUGUUUCAAAUUAAUUGUCUAUUUUUGUAAAUCAAAAAUAUUUUAUUUCUUCUUUCUCAUGCUAUCCUCAAUACUAAAUAAUUCAAAAAUAAUAAUAAUAAUAAUUAAAUUUAGAAUUUCAAAAUAUCAUUAGGGUUAAAUUUAUAAAAUAAAUUUUUAAUUAACGGAGGAAUAAAAUUUUGAUUGAGCUGUUUCAAAUUAUUAAUGCAUACAUGACAUGCAAUUAAUCCGUAACUGACUUUUCUUGAACCAAUAGCAUAAGUCAUUUAAUAUGCAAGGGAAAAGGGAAAGACAGAGAAUUGGCUUACAACCGCAUGAUUUAAGUACUACUUUUCUUGUAACGCGUGUCUGAUAAAUAAAUGGUAUUUAGUUAAUUUAAAGAAAAUAAUUAAAAUGGAAUAAAAGGCUUUAGAAAAAACUGAAUGCUGAAAAAUGUUCAAAAAAUCAGAAAAAAGAUAAAUAUUUUUCUUGAUCACUGGGGCAUGCCACCUCAAUAGUCUCCAAUGUUUCCUUUAGCCUCCAAUGUUUCCUUUAUAUUAUAUAUAGAUUGAUACCGAAAGAUUAUUAUGUUUCUAGAUUUCAAAAAAUAUGAAUGAAGGUGGCUUUGAGAAUUUGAAAAAAUUAAUGAAAAAAGUAACAUUUGUAACGGAAACAUUUAUUGUCACUAAUAAUAAAAAUUGGCCGAUUAAAUUAAAAUGAUAAGAUAUUUUGUCACAAUAAAAUAUAUUUAUAAAAAUCUAAUCCCAAAUAUUGUGACUAUUUAUAGCUAGAAAAAUUAAAUUUGAUAGCUACUAUUUCAAUCGUUAUGGAAAAAUAAUUAUAUCUUUUGCCACAAUAAAUUUAUUUGUGGCUAAAGUAUAAAAUAGCAAUAAAGUAGAUUAGUUGUGGCAAUUAGAAAGUUAACUAUUAGCUGUGUGGAAAUUAGACUUCUUUAAAAUAGCCACGUCACAAAACAUUUCAUAGCAAUAAGCUAAUUAGUCCUUAGCCAAGAAACUUUAAAGUUUGUAGUUGGCUUUAAAUUAUGCCACUUCUAGCUACGCAUGCUAUGAAAAAAAUUAUAAUAGCUAAAGUGUUUAGCCACAGAAAUAAAACAGGUGCAGAAGGAGUAGAACAGGAAAGAAUGCUUUCGUGAAGUAAAACAACAGGAAAGAAUGCUUUCGUGAAGUAAAACAUCCUAGAAAAGAAAACAAUAUGUUUGAUCUAAUCUAAUAACUGAUAUGCCUUUUCUGUCAUAACCAAGAAACACACAUGAAAUGAAUCCAAGUUGAAAUUUAUCCCCUAUAUGGAUUAGGAUUAGCCGCAAAACAGCGGCAACCAAAUACUUUGAGGUUUGUAUAAGAAGGUUCAGAAUUAUACAAUCCACGUCAUUUUUAUAUAUAAAAAUUAUUAAAUAUUAAAAGAAAACAAUUCCUCUCCCCCCCCCCCCACCCCUCCCCACCCCAAUAUUUAAGUGGAAGUUUAGAUUGAAAUAGCAAGGGUGUAGCAGUUUCUAGUAAAUAUUUUUGUUUCCUUUCUAUAACAACAACAUUGCACUAUUCAACUCAUAACGAUCACAUAUGAUUUUGUUUCCAUAAAAAGCUUGCCAAAUUAAUGUCAUGGAUAUUGAGUACACAAAAAGGAAGUAAUUAACUUCUCUAGUUCAUUAAUGGGAAGAACUAGAGUUUUAUUCAAUACACAACACAAAUACAUAAUUUAGAUAAUAGGAAGAACUAGAGUUUUAUUCAACACACAACACAAAUACAUAAUUUAGAAAAUUACAACCACAAAAGUAUUAAUUAGUAGCUUAGUACAUAACAUAGUGUCAAAAACACAUACUUUGUGGCCAUAAUUUCUUAGAGCAAAUUAAUGCUUCUUCUUAAGCUUUCUCUAGAGCAAUUUUAUUGCCACCGAUGGCGCAAUGGUUGCUACCACAGCUUUUCACGCAA
rnacentral:lncRNA from 1 species